UUUUUUUUUUUUUUUGCUUUGCCCCUUUUGGCAAUUCAAAUGUAGGCUAAAACGAUAUGAUGCUGCAUGGUAGCAGAGUAGCCAAGUUCAGACGGUUGAAUUGAUGCAGAGCAAAUUAUGUCAGAUGGAUAAUGAGAUCUCAUGAUCAUGACUUGUGCAUGACAUGCUCCCGCAUCCUUUAUAAAGGAUUUGAGCUAGCUAGUUGAAUGCUAUGAUGUCUUCUAAAUUCAAACUGGAAACAACGAAUCUAAGGCCGCCUCCAACCACCCCCACUCACCUGGAGCAAGCAAGCCCUCCAACAGCUCCCCCACCAUCCACCCCAUAUUGAAACUCUCCCCACAUAUAGGGUGAGUUCAAAUCUCUCCUCAUACUUUAAUCACUCAAUUUCUUUGUGGUAUUAACACUUUUUAAGUGCAGUAACAUGAAAAUCAUGUGUAUUAUGGUAAUAUAAAUAGUGUAUGAUUUUUUAAAUAUUUAAAAACUGAUGAAAAAAUGUCAAAUAACUGAAUUGCAGUAUAUAGGUGGAGCUAGAUGGGGUGAAUGAUUGGAGAAGUUAUAGAUGUGUAGUGAGUAUCUUUUAGGGUGGUAUAGUAAAAUACGAUAGAAAAUACAGAUAUGGAAAGAAAUGUGGAGAAACGGUUGGAGAUGGUCUAAGGCUCUAAGCUCUCGGUCUCUUGCUGUUCUCUGCAUCUUGCCCCCCCCCCCCCCCUUUUUUUUUUGGUAAAUUCUAGUGUAGGCCACGGUCUGACGGUUGUGUUGAUGCAGUGCAAUUGUGCAAAUUAUGUGAGAUGGAUAAUGAAAUCUCAUGGACAUGACUUGUGUAUUUAGUUAGACAUGGCCCGCAUCCUUUAUAAGACCCCAUUCACUUGCUCCGGAACGGUUCCUUCCAACUGUGAAAUGGUAUGUUAAUUUGUAGUAUUAAACAUUGAUUAGUUAGAAUAGUUUUUGGUCUCAGUCUGAUAUAAACGAACGCGGCCUAAAGGGUUUGAACUUAGCUAGGGAAUGCCAUGCUGUCUUCUAAAGUCAAAAUUGGAAAUGGAAUCUGAACUGUUCCCCUCGCGGAAACAACGAAUGUAGGCCCUCCUCUCUUGCGCUGUUCUCUGCAUCUUGCUGGGUUGGACCUUUCGUUUUGUUUUGUUUUGAUUUGAUAGGGUUUGAGCCUCUCUUCUUCUUUUCUGUCAGGUCGGCGUAGAGUUUCCGCAGACAACCGCAAGGGGGAACAAGAUAAUGAAACAUUGAAACUGUAAGCAAGCAUUAAGAAUUAGAACAAAUGAAUGGUCAAAGCUCACCGGGAUCCAAAUUAUAGUCUUGCAAUGCUCAACGUGCACAGGGCAAACCAUCCUCUCUAACGACAACGUAUUUUUUGAACAGGUCAACGACAAAUAGAGUACAAGAGAUGUGGAAAUAAAACAACUGUUAAACAGCAUCACAAAAACCUGCCCCAUGCUCGCGCAAAGAAAUUAGAAUUACUAGAUGUCAACGAACCACACGAGUGCCUCUAUGAAGAAGAAGAAAAAAAGAAACAUAAUGCCUUUAAUCUGCGAACUAAAUAGUAAUGCUGUCAUUAAAUAGGAAGACAAGAAUACGUGCAAGCUGGAAUAUGUAUAGUUUCCCAUGUACAUAAAUAUUAUAUACUUGGUUCAUUUAGGAGUGUUUGAAUGUACUAAAACUAAUAGUUAAUUGACUAAAAAUUUGCUAAUGAAAUUAGCUAGCUAACAAGGCAACAACUAAUAUACAAUCAGGUCUUAUAUGCAAGCGUGCAAACCAGGUUCCUAGUUCGUUAGAUUAUGAUCUAACCAUAUAGUCCCUCCAUUCAUAAAUAUGACACCAUUGAUUUUUUAAAGAUUUUGACCACUCGUUAUAUUCAAAAAAAAAUAAUGAGUUAUCAUUUAUUUUUUGUGAUUGGUUUUAUCAAUUAAGGUAGUUUGUGCUUGACUUAAAAUUUUAUAUUUUUGAAUAAAUAUUUUGAAUAAGACGAGUGGUCGAAGUUUUCGAAAAAAGUCAACGGUGUCAUAUAUUUGUGAAUGGAGGCAGUAUCACAUUUAAUACUUAAACACUUCCAUCACCGGCUCGUGUAGAUUUAUAGAAAACCUCUAACAAACCAUAAUUAUGUCUACAAUUAGAUCAUGAUCUAAUGGACCAAGAGGCUCGUUUGCACGCUUGUACAUAAGACCUGAUUGCAUAUUAGUUGUUUCCAACUAACAAAUAGCUAAUAGUUGAACUAUUACCUAAACUGUUUGGAUGACUUUAACUAAUUUUAGCAACUAACUAUUAGCUCUAGGGGGUGUUUGAAUGCAAUAGAACUAAUAGUUAGUUGACUAAAAAUUGUUAGUAAAAUUAGAUAGGUAACAAAUAUCUAUCCAACUAUUAACUAAUUUACUAAAAAUAGCUAAUAGCUGAACUAUUAGCUAACGUGUUUUGAUAUCUCAACUAACUUUAGUCACUAACUAUUAGCUUUAGUGCAUUCAAACACUCUUCAAACUCCACAACUAGAUCAGUAAGACAGCGAGAAAGAAGUGCCCUGCACUGCACAUAUGAAGCCCCAGCGCAGCAGCGCUGUCAAGUGUUCGGACACCGUACAACGGCAGCUUUGUUUUUUUAUAGAUCCAACACGUAGCCUGUUUUGCCUUGUUACCAGUACAUGCAUAACUAGCAAUUGCUUAAACAUGUGGAGACAGUUCGAGCACGUGCCUCAGCCGUAGUAUAGUUUAGUGCCGCCGCGCGAAGGAAUAAAACUAGCUGUUACUAAAAGCACGGCUGCACGGCACGUCCAUUGUGGCCAUCUUCAAGGACUCUUCAUUUUUUCUAUUCACCUUAUUAGAAACAUAUCUGGUGUAUAUGAACUAAUAAAGUUCAGAAAAAAUCUAAAAAAUUCAUACAUAUUCUUUUAACCUUACUCUAAUUAUAUACAAUCUUUUUCAGUUUAAAUUCGUCAUCAUUUAGCAGUAACAAAAAAGAUAAAAUUUCUAAUAAUUUUAAAUUAGAAAAAAAACCGUCUAAAAUGUUUUUUUAUUACAGACAAAGUAUAGCAAAUUUGAACUUAAAAAUUUUAUAUAUAAUUAGAGUAGGAUGGAAAGAAUAUGUAUCAAUUUUUUCAGAAUUUUUUGUAAAUGUUGUUGGUGCAUGUGCACUAUAUGUGCACCGGAUAUGUCCUCGUACACAUUUUCAUAAAAAUUAUAUUUUAUACGUAACAUCUUACUUUAACGGUCCAUCUAUCUAGUUUGGCUAGUCAGAGUAGCUAGCCAAGUUUAACUAGUGAGAGAGAUAAUUUAGCAAGUUAGAUGGCUAAUAUGUUAGAAAGUUAUUUUGCUGAUAUUAAGUAGAUAAAAUUUAGCUUGGCUGGACAUUUAUAGCUAAUCUUUUGAAGAUGCUCUAAAGACUACUAUGAAGCCGGAAUCUAAGCAUUUGGAUGCAGAUCUCAAACAGUUGGUAGCAGUAGCUCCAACCAUUAUGCUUUUCUCGUUGAUAGAGCCGGCCGGCGUCUGACGGCGGCUGCAAUACCCAUCAGCAUUAAAACCUUUCACCUCCCAGGAAAGCUAGCUGGUGCAUUGUUGUCAUGCCACCUGUUUAGUUGAUCCGUUAUUGUCGUUUGUUUUUGUAGCUAACGGAUCAGAGAUACUCUCUUUGUUUCGUUUUCAUUAUCGUUAGAUAAUUUAAUUUUACACUAUUCAGCCAUAACUAAAACGAAACUGAUGAACUAAAAUGAAACGGAGGAAGUAUCGUUUUUGGCAGCGUCUCGAUGCAUGCAUGUGUGUACUAAAAGCCUGCUGCCGCACAGCAAAAUAGAUAGUACGCACCCAGUCAAAAAAAACACGCUAGUAGUUUUCAAGACCGUUAACACGGUGCUGCACAUACAGGUGUGUGGUUUGCAUGUCCCUGCCCUGUCCGAACUCCAAACAAGCCGCCCUCGACAUGUCUGCCCGGUGCCCGAACAGACAUGUGCUGCACAUAAUGAUUGGUUUAAGCGAUGGCUACCCGCCAAAAUUUAGUCCAAAUAUACGAGAAGUAGUACAGUGCGAGUAGGGAUUUACUCUUUGUAGGUAGCUCCGGUGGAUAUAUGAAAACAAGUGAAAACCAAAAAAAAAAAAACAAGCGGAAACGAAAAUGGUUCAAGGCCAUGUACAAACGGAGCAAGGAGCCUAGUAGCAGCUAGUAGUCCCACAAGAGAGGGAGAGAGUGGAGACAGGCGGCGGCGGCGUCGAGCCCAUCGCACGGCGUCCACGAGCUAUGCUGGGACGGGCACGGGCCCAACUCCACCACGUCCUCCACCCACAGAGGCGCCAGGUCGUCGAACACCAGCUCGGCGGCCAGGGCCACCUCCUCCACGGGCUGCCGUCCGGGCUCAUCAGGUCGUUGAGGCUCUGGCUCGUGCAUGACGGCGGCGCGCGCGGCGGCGGCCUGGACGUCGCGCGGCGCCAGGGAGGCCGGGCGCGGGAGGUGGCGCGCGAGGGCCGGGAAGUUGAGCACGGCGCGCGCGCCGCCAUCUCCGGGCGCGGGAAGGUGCCCAGCCAGAUGCGCGACUUCUUGCGGGGCUCCCUGAUCUCCGACACCCACUUGCCCCACGCGCGCAUGCGGACGCCGCGGUACGCCGGGGCGGCGGCGGCGGCGCCGUCGUGCGGGCGCUUCUUGCCGUUGCUGGUGCCGGCGGCGGCGCGCGGGCUGGUGGACGACGUGGAGGAGGGGUCGGACGAGUAGGAGGACGUGGACGAGGUGUCGGAGCUGUGCUGGCUCAUUGCCAUAUCCAUACAGAUACAGCAGAGUUAUUAGUCCAAGCUACUAGCUGUAGCUGAUCGACCGCCGGCGAGCUUCUCCCGCGCGAGCUGGAGCAGUCGAUCGUGUGUGUGUGUGUGUGUAUGGUCGAGCAAUAGAGAUCGAGGACAGAGGUGGUGCAAUGCAAUGGCGGGUAGAUACUAGCUCUAGCUAGGUAGCUAGCUGUAGAGAGAGGACGGGGGCGUUGCUGGGCCGGCGGGUGUAUAAGUAGGGGGGAGGAAGACCCGCGCGACGCGUAACAGCAUGCAGUGGCAACAGCGACGUUGCAGCGAACAGCGCUGCCCUCGCCAAUAUGGCCAUUACUACUAUUGCCGAUACACAUAUGGACAUGGACUGUUGCUUAAUCAGGCAUGGGUAACCCCUGACAGAGUUGAAGAUCAUGGAGGCCGGCCGGGAUUCCACAUCUCGAUCGAACAUCUCACUCGUCUUUUCUAUAUAUAAGAAAAAACAUGCCCAGCAGAAAUUGACGCCGCUCGCGGGAUCGGUCCACACCAUUAUUAUUUAAUUAACUCUGACGGACGACGACGAGUCGUCGACGACCAGAGGUAAACUGUUUGUGAGAGCAGUGGCAUGCGUCGCCCAUGCAAGUGCAAUGCAUGGUUCGCAUGGCAUGACGACGCUCGCAUGGCCAGGCCAGGCCAGCCAACGCCUUUGGCUUCCCAAUGAGCCAGAGAGGCUUUGCGUUCACUCUGAACGAAGUCCGAACCGGACUGAACUUAUCUGAAGUCUGAACUUUAAACUCUGAACCAACCAGGCCUGCUUGUACAUAUAUAGUUGUCGCCAUGAUGCGGAAAUGGACGAGCCAACCGUGCGUCAGCGUCGAUCCAUCAAUCCCUGAAAUAAUCGGUUGCUUUUGCGAUCAUUGGCACUUGCCACGGCGGCGCUGCGCAUGAUUACAUGCAUUCGAUUAAUUAACUAAUUAAUUAAUUUCUGCAGGCAACGUGUAUCUAUAUAUAUAUGCUGCCUUCCAUGAACCGUACAGCAUAUAGCAGUCUCAUCUGGAGUUCAGCUAUAUCAGGGCAUACAUUAAACCUCUCCUGCAAUUUGCUAUAUAUUGGAGGACUGAACAUUCGACUAUAUAUAGGGAGUAAAAGUUCAGAAGAUUCAAUUUCUAAUUAUCUGUAGAGGUGCUAGGCUAAUAAGAAAACCGUCCGUGCCUUCACUUGCGAUAUUUGUGAAGAAAAUCACUAGUAAAAAUCUGUUCUUUUUUUUGCUGACAUUUUCUUUUAAAAAACGUCAAUGUACAUACAUGAAUUAUUCUAUUGACCUCUCAUAACCAUGCAUGCUCUAUAUUGUUACUUCUACUGACAUGUAGGAGUAUAUAUAUUACUAAUAAUCAUCCUGAGUAGAAGAAUUAGUACCGUGCGUCAGCAGAAACCGAUUGUAUAGCAGUUAAAUAAAUAAAAAGGAGAACACACAUCACACAUGCAGCAUUGUGCAUGAGCGGAAUCCGGUUGUUGUGACGACGACCAGAUCGAAGAGCUGAGAAAGAUCGGGAGAGAACAUCAUCAUUACAGCACGUACGCAACUACCCAUUGCAUUUCAUAAUUGCAUUUGCGUAUCCCAUGCACACAGUGUCGGGUAGUUAUUAGGAAGUUAGGUAUGGGAUAGCCUGAUGAAAAUGAUGGGAGACCUAGCUGCUUCAUGCAUGCUGCGGUCGUUGGAGCAAAGAUACGGACAUCGAUUUCCGGAACCCUCUAUACAUCUCUUGUGCGUUUGCAUCGGGUAUUCGGGUCAUGUAUAGGGUGUGCCAUUGCCAUGCCAUAUUGCCAUGCAUAGUGUACGUCUUCCUCUAUCUAACAUGCCUUUGGAUUUGCGUGGAAGGACGAAGGGCGCCCGCAACGCAAAGUACGCACAGGCACGAUCGGUGCAAAAGCGCGGGAACGACGAUCUACUGCAUGCAUGGACACCACGUGCAUGCGGCAUGCACUUGCACGCACGCACGCGCGUGAGUGACGCCUUUCAGGCCGUGAACAGAACAGUUGGGAAGCUUUGCAUUCAGGGCACACACGCGGCCAUCGAUUCGGGCACCAAACUCUCAGAUAUAGUAGCAGCUCUUCACGGGCACAGCUAAACUAGCGGUCUACGGGUUCGAUCCAUGGACGGCCAGGCCUGUGCGUGCGUUAGUGGACUGUGACAGGACAGGGACGACGAUCAACUGCGCUGCAUACAUUAUAUAUUCGCCGCCGGCCAGUUCCUGCGUGCAUGUUGCAGCUAUAUAGCAUGUGCACUGUGCAGUGGUUAACUUGACAUGCGGCUGCUGCUUGGGCUUUUGCAUGGUGGUAACAGUGUGACAUACAUGCUGGUUUCGCGAUCGACAAAAACCACCGCUCUGAGCGCUGAUCGAUCGAGCGCCGACCGCCGAGCAUGUGCGCCUACUAUACCUAGCUUUGUAUCGUUGUAUGUAGUUGAUCCAAGUUGUUGCGGGCUUUAAUUCCUCCGCCCGCGUACGUGCAUGCACGACCGCAAUGGAAAUGGAUGUCCCCCCAUGCCGUGCCAUUAACAGCGUCACCAGCAGGCAGGCAGGCAUCCGUUCAGGCUCAGCUAGCUAGAAGAUGCAUGCACGGACAGUGGACACAGGAGUACAGGACACGCACCCGCCCGCAUGCAUGCAUGGCGGACAGCGCGCCGCCCAUCAAGGUCAAGGCAUCAGCGCGCAGGCAAACGCAUCUGGCGGCCGGCGCCGGCCGGCGGAGCGCAUGCAGAGACACGAACGCAUGCAGGUGCAGGUGCAGGUGCAGGUGCGGGCGGCGCCGCGUGCAGUGCAGUGCACUGCUCAUCUCAGCUCAGCUGUCUGUCUCUCCUGGUGGCUGGAGUUAUCAACAGGAGUCUCCCGGUAGGUAGGUGGGUAGGUAGGACCGAUAGGAGCUGAAACCGCGCGCCGAGCCAUAGCAUCUGCGGCUGCACGCGUGUCUCGUGGGCUUUCAUUUCCAGGCCCGUCCAGUACUCCAAGACUCUUUUGGCGACACCCGCCUACUAGUCGGGUACUACUCCACCCAGCCUCUUUUGACGCCCGCGCACCAAACUGCAACUGCCAGAGCUGGUUUGGAAGCCCAGACGUGAUCCUGCUUUUCCCGGGCCCAUAAUCGUGCGGCCCAACUUCCCUCCAUGUAUAGAGAUAGAGAGGUUUUUACUUAGGCAGGUAGGUAGGUAGGUAGUUAGAUGUAUUAUUAUGUAGAAUUUAGUUAGUUUAAUAGGGCCACAGCAAGGACAUCUGGGUAUCAAAGAUGUCCGAGAAAAUAUUGCUAGGAGAGCCAUGACAAAGUUCUAUCACCAUAGAAUAUGUUUACCAUGUCACAACAUUGUUGCAAACCUAACACUACCGGACUCGCGUUCUAUGUCGAGUGUUACACUCGACAAAUAUUUUAUCGGUAAAGAGUUCUUUAACGAUUAAUUUUUUUCGAGCACUCGGCAAAAACUUUGCCGAGCGUCGAAAAACACUCGGCAAAUUAAGAUUCACAAAAAAAACCCAAAAAUAGCAUAACGUUUUUUAUUUUAUAUUAUGGGGAACAACUUUCCAACCACUACUCAUUAACAUACCCAUUAACUACACUAUUUUAUCAACUGUGUCUAUAUUACGUUUUCAUUCCUCAUGUACUAUAACAAACCGAGAGUAAUUUGAUUAUUUGAUGUACUGAAUUAAUUCAUUUGAAAAUUUGAAUUUCAAAUUUGAUCUACAAGUUCUAUUUCGAUAGUUUCUACAUCCGAGGACGUUUAUGAAAUUUGAAUUUCAAAUUUGAAAACUUCACACGAAUUUUUCAAUGAUAAGAUUAUUUCAAAUAAAAAAAUUUCAAUUACAAAGUUUCAUUAAAUUUGAAGACCUACCACUUUUAUUUUGAUGUUUUUUCCCAUCCGAGGUAGUUUAAAAAAUUCAAAUUUUAAAAUUCAAGCAUAGUUUUGCAUGACAAGAUAAUUUCAAACCAAAACAUUGUCAACUACAAAGUUUCAUAACUUUUCAAGACCUACAACUUUUUUUUUGUGUGUUUUUUCCAUAUCGCAGGCACUCGGCAAAGAACUCUGUUCCGAUAGUGAGCCAAUGUCGUGGAAGGACACCGAGAGUCGUGACGUGCUAACGGCAUGGGGGCGGAUUCAGUAUUUUAGCAUGCCCCAUACCCGUCUAUUUGAUAUACUAGAGUUCUAAUAUAUUUUUAGCCUAAAAGUAAUUGAGAUAUAUAAAGAUAUAUGGAUCAUAAAAAGUAGUCGACAAAGGAUGGUCUCCGACGCCGACGAGCAACUAGUGGUCGAUAAGUGAUAUGAACGAGAGCCACCAUAAGGUAAAGGGCUUAGGUGUCGUUUGAAUCACAUAUUUGUAACAUAAUGGGUAACUGAUAACGUUAAAUCAUGUUUGUUUAAGUUCAAUCGUAAUCAUAUACCGCAAUAAUAGUAAUUGAUACUGGACUAUUCAAACUUAUUAGCGCCAGUACUGAAGUGUGAACCAUUACCAUCGCAUACAAACAACACCCUAAGAUAUAUGGUACUGUUUGGUUCACAUAUUUGUAACGUAAUAGGUAAGUGAUAACGUUACAUCAUGUUUGUUUUAGUCCAACCGUAAUCAGAUACCAUACUAAAAAUUGAUAUCGGACUAUUCAAACUUGUUACAGACAGUAAUCAAGUGUAAACCGUUACCGUUACCCUUUACGUUACAUUUCAUGAACCAAACAACACCUAUAUGUCUAUACAUCUAAACAAAGGCUUAGCCUACCGGACUGUUUUCCAAACAAACCCGGGACUGAUGAAGGAUUGAAGGUCAAUGGAGUUGCAGCAACGUGCAAGAGAACUCGAGAGGCCAGUGUUGGAUGGAGUUAUUAGUGCAGACCUGUAUGAGCUUUGAGCUGGAAGCUGCGUCCUGCGUGUAUAUUUCACGGGAGGACCGGGAGCGUUGCACAUGCAUGCUGCAUGCAACCUCGCUGCUGCUGCCUGCUCUCUGCACCGCGUGACAAUGCAAGAACGAGCAGGCGAGUAGCUACUACGACUGCACUGCACACUGCAGUGCACUAGUGCUGCUGCUGCUGCAUGCGGCGCCUGCUCGCUCGCGCGCGGCCGGAUCGGAAGGGAUCGGGCAUCGGACGAGAGCGCGCGUCCUUAGCUAGCCAAACUUGAUUCGCUCGGUCUCGGUCUCAUGUCGUCUCUCUCUCACGUGCAUGCAUAUAUGUCGUCUCUCUCUCUCUCGUGCAUGCAUGGACGAGGACGAGGACGAUGGCAUGGUCGUCUCGUGGACGACGACGGAUCCCAGCAGACACUGACGAGCGAUGGCACACAGUCUCUCUGACUCUCUCUCAUCACAUGCAUGCUUCUCUUCGUCUGAUACCUCCGGCCUCUAGCCCUCUACUCGUACAGUCGUACUCGUACGUAGGAGGACGACUUGGACUUCAAAGUAACGUACCGUUCGCUGUGUGUGUGCAUGCCGCCGCGCGCGGGCGAGUCUGGAGCAACAAAGUUGUUUGUCUCUUGUUCUGCCACCUUGUUUUGCUUGUCUUCUUCUUCGUCUGGCCUCCUCGAUCGACAGUUUGUUAGAACUGAGGUUAAUACCCUACGAUCGACGAGACUACGACUACGUAACCAUAAUAUGCAAUAAUCAUCUACGUAUAUAUCGUCCGAAGCCGAAGCAGACAUGCAUGUGCUCCGUGCUCGAGCUUGAGGGCCGCCUACUAGGCGAGGGGGGCCAGUACUGGCUGGCCUGGUCGCUCUGCAAUGCGAAUGCAGCUAGCCAAUUCCAUAGAUCCAAUCCAAUCCGGCCGGCCUGCAGGCUCCAGGCUCCAGGCUCCAGCGCUGCUCCAUUCAUAUAUCCAUCCAUCUCCAUGUGCUCCAAGGUAAGCCACCCCUGGCCUAGCUACAUGCUUGUUGGUACACGACAAGCCACACACAUGGGCCAAAUAUAUGAUCUCAUGUCGUGUGGAAGCAAUUACGUACGCAAGUGAUGAUUCAUUCGGCUGUUGCGGCUCUAAUUAAUCUCGCAGCAGCAGCAGCCGCAGCCGCUGGUGAUGUUGGACGUACGGACCCAUGUUAUCCUGUUUUAUCCUAUCGAUCGAUCCAUCCACAACGGUAUCAGAUUUUGCUGCAUAUACAUGACCUGUCUCUGAUGCUCUGAUGAUGCUGGCUCUCUCUCCUAGCUAGACUAAUGUCGUUGGCCUUUCGUUUGAUCCUACUACUACCAGCCAGUCGCAUGCAUCCAAAUCCAAGUAAGCUAGUAAUAAGGCACUGCUAAUAAAGGAAGGCUUUGCAGUACAAUAAGCGAUGGAUGCCAUCAAAUAGAUAACGCCACCUUCUUCUUUUUUUAUUUUUUUGCUUUGCUUUUUAAACAAACAUAAAAAGUCCAUCGAGGUGCGCGCCGGCGCCGCGGUGGAGGCGGGAACGAGCCUGCCGUUACCCGCCAAAUUUUCUUUUUAACCGGGCAGGGAGGGUGAGGCGGCCGGCCCCGCGGCGUCAGCAAGCUUGCUCCAGCUGCGCCUGCGCAGCGAGAGAGAUGGUAGUUGGUAGCCUGCGCGAAGGGCCCCCAGGCGCAGGGACACUGCAGCGAACAACAGCACAGCUUCCGUGUUUAAUUCUGUACGUGUAUGUCUGCAGUGCAGAUGCACUUGACUUGACCGCCCCCCGCCCCCCCCCCCCCCCCCCCCCCCCCUCUACCGCAGGCAGGAUUCAGGAGGAUCGGUCAACCAAGUUUAAGAAAGAUUAAUAAUAACACACGCCGUAGUAGUCGUAGCAUGGACCAAAAACAUAUGUCUAAGCAAACAGUGGCACGUCUAGCUAGGUUUAUGAUGUGGCGAGUUAUGAUCAUGAAUCAAACAUUGUUCUAAUCCCGUACAAUGAAGUUCGAAGUAAUAUACCAUUUAUUUUUCCUUAUGAUUUCAUUCUUUCCCCUUUUAGGAAAUAUAAUGGCGUUGAAUGCUCAAGGGGUUCCUGGCUACUAUCUAACAAUAUUGUUCCACAUAGCAUUUUACUCUACCGGUGACAAUAAAUGGUGUUGACAAAAUACAGGUGGUAUUUCAGGACCGCGCCCCCAAGAGGGACUAGCUUCGUUCACGCUACAAAAUUUGGGUACUAAAAGUCACCUACAGGGGUGGAGCAAAACCUGAAAUUAUAAACUUUAGAUACGAACAUUUUCACACAAAAACACUGAUGAUACUUGUAAAUAACAUACUCACAACCUGUGAUAUUACUGAUGAGAGCCCAAGCCACAAGCCUUGCUAAAAAAUUAAGUCACUCACUAUGUUUUCUUGGCACGGUUGGUAAAGCAAUAAUGUGCAUCCAGCAUGAGUGUCAGCCCUAAGGGUGGGACAGAGGGUCCACCGCGGCGAGCCCCCAAGGCCAUAGAGCUCGAGCCUAAGUAUAUAUACAGUAGUUAGACUAUCAAUAAUGGUCCAAUAUUCAGUAGCGAAGCGUCGAAGAGUUGGUAAUCGUGACUUGACCACAACUUAGCGAUAUUUAAGCGAGUUAAAAGAAAAUUUUAAGGUAAUAUUAUAAUAUGCAUCUUUUUAUUUAGUUGUUGUUUCAUAUGAAUAUUUUUAGAUAUAUAUCAAAUGCUUAUAUUGGCAAUAUUUAAAUAUAAAAAAUAAGAAGUGCCUUUAUUUUAAAUAUUGUCUCGGGCGUCUAAAAUCUCAAGAUCCAUAAUGUAGCAUAUUGCAUAUGAUUUUUUUGUAACAUGUGCAACGCCUUCGAGAUGUUUGGUCUCACCACUAGUCUUUCUUUUUUAAGGCUAAAACCAUUGUCCGAAAUCACUUAGGGCUUAUUUAGAUGCAUAGGGAAUCGAGGGACAUAUAAUCCAUUACUAGUUAAAAUAGAAUAGCAAGAGACUAUACGCCCCUCAAUCCUUUCGAAUCACAUGCAUCCAAACAAGCUAUUAAAGUGUUAUUUAAGUUCUACACAUUUUUUUUGUAUGAAAAUACCUAAUUUCAUCAUUCAAAGUGAAAUUUCAUGGUAAAGCCAAACCCAAAUCCAAAGUGAAAGGGGUGGCACGGAAUUUCCCCAUGCCGUUUCUAAAAUACUAACAAAACCUCGAAUCUCAUUCUAUUUGACUAUUUCUCCACCUCCAGAAAUUGUAGAGCUUUGAAGUCCUCACGUGCAAAAAAAUACAUCCAAAUAACAAAGUAGUGUUUGAUUUUUCUGACUAAAGUUUAGUCCAUAUCAUAUUGAAUAUCAAAUGUUUGGAUAUCAACUAGGAGUAUUAAAUAUAGUGUAAUUUCAAAACUAAUUAUAUAAAUGAAGACUAAACGAUAAGACACAUUUAUUAAACAUAACUAAUCCAUAAUUAGCAAAUUUGUACCGAGCAACUCAUAUCAUGGGCUAAUAAUGGAAUAAUUAUUUUUUAAUAUGUUUGUCUUACAAUUUAAUACUUAUAUGUAUAAUUAGUUCUCAGGUAAAAGGGUGUAUCUGAUGAGGACAUCCCUAGCAACGCCUAACACCUAGUUUCAAGGUGAAAUUUGAAAAUUAGUUCUUUUCAGGGGACAUAUUGGUUCAGAUUUCAGAGAUUAUUGCAAAAAGAAGAAGAUUAACUUGAGGUUUUUUAGUGUGUCGAGCAUUAAAGUAAGUAGCCGUGGAGAUCUUCACAAGGCAUGGAUGAAAGUCUAAUAUUAGAUUGGAGGACACUUGAAGCAUUAAUGUGUUCCUCCUAAGGGAGUUUACAUUCAUUCUAUUGUGGGUGUUCAAUUAAUUAUCAAUUUGUAAUACAUGUAUGUAGAAGGCUGGAACAUUUUUAUAAUAAAAAAUCUGUAUAUUUAGCUUUAUAGUCAGAUUAUAUUUAAUUUUCUAACUACCAUACAAACAUAUGUCGCAAUAGGUACUAAAGUUUAGUCCCUGUAUUUAAACACCUCCAAAGACACCCUUGCAUAAACCAAAUUUACAGAUACGUCCAUCCUCUCUCGAAGCCGCCGCCUCCUGCCGUCCUGCCACUGCGAGUGGCCAGUGCCCACUGCCCAGUGGCCGUUGCUGGUUGCUGCUCCCCUUCCACUCCCACAGUUCCACUACUUUCACCGCGCCCGCGCCACCGUUUGCCCCCUUCCUCCGCCACCACCACAGUGCCACACCACUCCUAACCCUAAUCCGCGCGAGCCAAAUCUUAGCCGCAAGAUCCAUUCGCCGCAUGCCUCUCCCUUCCCGGCGGCAGCGCCGGCUAAGCUGAGCCGGACAGGUAACUCCCUUCGACGCCCCGGCGCCGUUGCUGUCACAGCCGGCGCCAUGGGCUGCGUCUGCGGCCGCCCCUCCGCCUUUGACGACGGCCAGUGCCGCGCGACGCCUCCGCCGGCCGCGAAGCUCUCGGCGGCGGUGAGGAGCAAGGAGGAAGCACGGAAACAGCAGCAGCUCCAGCUUCAGCAGCAUGUGAGGGCAGGAAGCGGAAGGGAGGAGGCGCUCGAGAGGAGGCGAGCAAUGAUGGCGAUGGCGGCGGUGUGCCAGGUGAGGAGCCCGGUGCCGAGGGCGGUUGAGGCGGAGCAUGUGGCCGUGGGGUGGCCGCCGUGGCUCGUCGCCGUCGCCCCGGAGGCCGUGCGCGGAUGGGUGCCCCGCCGCGCCGAGUCGUUCGAGAAGCUCGACAAGGUAGGACCUUCUUCGUUGCUUCGCCCAUGUUACUUCGUUAUCUUCCCAUUUUGCUCUUGCCUUUCGCCCGUGCCGGAAUCUCAUAACAUUAAUAAUAUGUGAAAUUAUGCUGUAAAUUUUAAGUUUUUUUUGGGAUUUCUAUUGCUAGAUGAGAAGAUAAGUUGAGUUACUGCUCUCUGUGAACAGAUGGGGAUCAGUAACAUUGCGCGGUAAAUGAGGAAACGUUACGUUAUACAUGGAAUAUUUCCAGCGACGCGGAAAGGAUUUGAUGUCGCGAGAUAUUUUCAUUUCUUGGAUUCGUUUUUGUUGUCUGGCGAUGGCAGCUGGGGACGAUAGGAAAUGACAUCAUCCCGUUAUCAGUGGGGGGUGCCUUUUGUGUUGGAUGCGAAAACGCUGUGGCAUUUCCUUUCUUUUGGACAUUUUUGUUUGUUUUAGUGGACCGUGGAACCUACGAAUAGUAGGCAUUGCUAGCAAGCUUUUGGUAAGAAUGUGACAAAGUUUGGUCUUUUGUACCAGGAAUGAAAUUAAAAUUGUACGACUACUGCUCUUCGAAUUUGUUCUGCCUUUUUCCUGCAAAUGUAGUUAUUCUUUUCCACAACGGUUAAACAACCGAAUUUCAUUACUUCUGCAACGAAAUUACAGAGUGUGGUAGUUCAGGUCUCCAGCAUGUUCCUGACCACCUCACCAAGGCAAAUGUUGUUUAAUUAGAAAUAGUGAAAUAUUCUGCUAAGAGCGGCAAAGAGACAGACUGAUCACUUCUGCUGAAUCGGUAUAACAAAGAGUAGUGUUCUGUUUACUCUGUUCUGGAUUGAUACUUUAGGUUUAUACUCCUUUCAUUCUAAAUUGUAAGUCGGUUAGGCUUUUUUCAAAUCCAUAGAUUUUAUUAUGUUUGUAGACAUAAUGUACAUAUAGACUUAUAGCAAAAACUAUGUACCUAGAAAAACUAAAACAACUUACAGUUUGGAAUGAAGGGGAAUGACUGUGAAGGCAGGCACUGAUAUUUUGCUGAAAUACUUCAAACCAUUUCUAGAACUUAGGUUUGGACUGAGUUGUUGAAAUCGUGUGCAGUUUUGGUGGAAUUAAUUCACUGUGAAGACUGAUACCUCUAAAUUUUAUUGCCUGGGGAAUUUUCUUCAAUAAUGGUUCGUGUUUAUUCAGAUUGGUCAGGGUACAUACAGUAAUGUUUACAGAGCUCGUGACCUCGAAAAGGAGAAGAUUGUUGCUUUGAAGAAAGUGCGGUUUGAUAAUUUGGAACCUGAGAGCGUGAAAUUUAUGGCAAGGGAAAUCCUCAUUUUGCGCCGACUUGAUCAUCCAAAUGUUAUCAAACUAGAGGGUCUAGUAACAUCAAGAAUGUCCUGCAGCUUAUAUCUUGUUUUUGAGUACAUGGAGCAUGAUCUAGCCGGACUAGCUUCUUUCCCUGGAGUAAAAUUUACUGAGUCUCAGGUAUGUAGUCAUAUUGUUGUGGUUCUUAUUGUAUUCACCUGUGAAAGGGCCUGUAGUUGAGUUGGUUAAGUGGUAUGAGUAUUGAGUAGCACUCCUCAGGUCCUAAGUUCGACUCCCCGUGAGAGCGAAUUUAAGGCUGUGGUUAAAAAAAAUCCCCUUAUGUUCCACGCCAAAGCAUAAGUCUAAGAUCUGGCCCCGGUCGCGGUCAUGCUCACAUGGGCUAUAGUGCCGCUGUGUAUGGGUGAGGCUAGGGUUCGGGGGUUUUCUUGACCUGUGCGAGAAGGUCUUCUUAAUACAAUACCCGGAGGUUGUCUUACCCCCGCAGGUCGAGUUUUUUUUAUUGUAUUCACCUGUCAAUAUUCCUGCUACUACCUUAGUUCUGGAGAGAGAAAAGAGUUAUCAACAUUGCCUGGUACAGUGGUAGUUAGUACCAUUUUAGAAACGAGGUGAGAACUAGCUACUGCAUGAACUAUGGUCAGUACAUGCUGACAGUAAGCAUCACUAGAUGUGCAUGUAUCAGUCCCAGAGAAAUAAAAGAGUUGACAAAAUCGCCUGGUAUCCAGUAUAGCAUUCUUGAAAUGAACUAGCUAUUUGUAUAAACUAUGAUCAGAACAUGCUGAUGAUAAGCACCAUUGUUGUCCAGGUAAAGUGUUACAUGCAACAGCUCCUCCGUGGUCUUGAGCAUUGCCACAGCCGUCACAUUCUGCACCGUGACAUUAAGGGUUCAAAUCUCUUGAUUGAUAACCGAGGCAUAUUGAAGAUAGCAGAUUUUGGAUUAGCAAGUUUCUUUGAUCCUGAACAACGACACCCUUUGACUAGUCGUGUUGUCACGCUAUGGUAUAGGCCACCAGAGCUCUUGCUUGGUGCCACCAAUUAUGGUGUUGCUGUAGACCUCUGGAGUGCUGGCUGCAUUCUUGCCGAGCUAUAUGCUGGCAAGCCUAUCAUGCCUGGUAGAACAGAGGUAUGCUAACAAGCUUCCCUCACACUAAGUAAAUACUGCAAGAGAAUCUCUCCAGCAGUUAUAUUUGUUUAUAAAACUAAGUUGUAAAGCUUCUCCACUGUUUCUAGGUUGAGCAGUUGCAUAAAAUAUUUAAACUCUGUGGUUCACCGUCAGAGGAUUAUUGGAGGAAAUCUAAGCUUCCCCAUGCCACCAUUUUCAAACCGCAACACCCGUAUGCAAGGCGUGUACCAGAAACAUUUAAAGAGUUCCCUGUUCCUGCUCUGGCAUUAGUAGAUGUUCUUCUUUCAGUAGACCCAGCUGAUCGUGGAACUGCGUCUUCUGCAUUGCAAAGUGAGGUAUACAAUUUCCCUCUUAAACCUAUCUCCAGCAACACAAGACAUUUGUCUUUGUUUUCGAACUGGUCAUUCUUUUUUAUGAGACAUGUUGUUUCAAUACUCAUUUUUUGCAUUACUUGAAAUAUUUUAUAAUUUGAGUUUGAACAUGGCAAAACGAACUAUUUUGUGCUUACCAGUUGCCAGUCUAUACUCGAUAGACGAUAGUCUGGCAAUCAGGAAGAAGGGGUAGCACCGUACAUUUCGAUGUCAUGCUUUUAAUCUUAUUGGAAUAGCCACUUUUCUCCUUCUAUUAUCAAGUAAUAUGCCCAAAAAUGGCAUUGUUUCCUUUCUAUUUCAUUCAUCUCGCCUUAAAUAAUUGACUUUGAACUUACUGUUGUGUCUGUAGUUUUUUACAACAAAACCAUAUGCCUGCAAUCCUUCAAGCUUGCCUAGGUACCCCCCAAGCAAAGAGUUUGAUGCAAAACGUCGGGAGGAGGAAGCUCGAAGGUAAGCACAUCCAACUUGGUGCUCGCAUUUUAUCUAUCGAUCAAAAACAAUUCUUAAUGAGGCAAUGAUAUAAGCACUUCACUAGGCCAUGGUGCACCAAAUCUAUCUUUGUCGAGCCCAUCAAACUUAGAUGAAUAUUAUUAUGUUUUUCAGAAUCACAUGAACAUAUACUAUCUCCAUUUCAAAAGAUCCAUCGUCCACGAUAUCUUUGUGCACCUUUUGCCAUUUGUACUCACACUGUGAUAGUUGAAAAAUUGAGUUACUGGUGUGAGUCAUGUAACAGAGGACAGCAAUUGUUAUCUUUUCUUCCUUGAUUGUCGUUCUCUGUGCCCAAGGGAUAGAUGUUGUGAAACAGAGUGAUGAGGUGAAUCUGUCAAUCCCCUCUUUCUUUAUAUAUUACACAACAUUGCAUACAAUGCCAUACAUGGAUGCUGCUUCCCCUACACCUACACAGAAUUAUAACAUUUAUUUUCCUUUUUCAUGUAUUAGCAUGUCCUGUUUAUUAGACCUGCACUACUUGUUUCAUUUUUCUUUCUAUUUCCUUUAGUUCAUUGCCUGCUCCAUUUGUGCUAUUUAAAUUUCAAUACUCAAGCAAAAGGCAACCAGCAUUGUUGUCAUACAUUUGAUUUUUUUUUUACAAAUCAUAGUCAUGCACUUUUUAGGCAAGGUGUUACUGGAGGAAAGCAACAUAAACAUGACCCUGAAAGAAGAACCAGAGAAUCAAGAGCAGUCCCUGCCCCUGAGGCAAAUGCAGAAUUAGUAUCAUCAUUGCAGGUAAUUCUCCACUUGUUGACAGUUGACACUUCCUUUAUCUUUAGCUUUGGAGAUGCACAUGUACUACUUGUUUUUUUUAUCAUUUCAAACCAUACAUAACCUGUGUUGCUUGCUGUAUGAAUAUCUUUGACCUCAGAAAAGGCAAGCCCAAGCUAAUACCAGGAGCAGGAGCGAAAUGUUCAAUCCCUGCAAAGAAGACUCCGCGUCCGGAUUCCGAAUCGAACCACCCCGGCCAACUCCUGUUACCGAGUCUUCUGAAGACCCACAACGUGCCUACCCAACCAGGAUCUUCCAUUCUGGGCCUCUAGUUAACCAGAGCCAGCCAUCAAAGGCUGGAGGCGGCAAAAAUGGUGAACCUCAGGUCCCUGGUGUUGCGAAUCACCCUGUGGUUUUGUCGACAAGAUCAGGUCCCCGGGCAGACGAUAGCGGCCGGACAAUGGUCGCUCAAGCUGAAGCAUUUGCUCAUGGGCGGAGGCUGUCGGAGUCCAUCAAUGAGCAUUUCAGUAACAGUGGGAAGUACGAUCAAGUGUUCCCGAAGAAGGAUGACAGGAACAUUAGGGCUGAUGGAGCUAUUGUAAGUAACGUCCUACCUGAAAUGCAAAAGGGUGAAAAGCUUGAUUGUCCUGUUUCAGCCAUGGUUACUGCAAUGUUAGUUCAGAACUGUAUUUUAACAUGCAUCGCCAAGCUAAAAAAAAAUUAUAGGUUAGCAAACCCAGGUAUUAGGUCAAUGAAACAUGAAAAAGGGGGCAAAACCGAAACCAACCCCAUCUAUUCUUAGUUCAUUACCAGUACUUUUGGAAGAAAAAAAAACUGACCAUUUUCUGGCUCUUGACGAAACAGGGCUACGGAUCCAAAGGCAGCAAGAUCCACCACUCUGGGCCCCUGACCUGUCCUUCAGGCAGCAACGUCGACGAGAUGCUGAAGGAGAACGACCGGCAAAUCCAAGAAGUGUUCCGGCGAACCCGGGUGGAGAAGUCGCGAGCGAGGAGGGACCAUGGACAUCACCAGGGCGGUAUAAGACCUGGCGAUUUCGGCGCCAUCCCAGUCUUCCCUUCCAGCCGCUCCAGCUAUCAGGCUGUGCAGCAGUAAGGCCGGCGCUCGAACAAGAUCGGUUGGCGUUGGAACCUCCGAUGUGUUUCGGUCCCACGCUUUUUCCGGGAGGGGAUGUGUAGCAUACGCUAUGCUAUGCUAUGUACAGGGACAGGGAGGCAGCAGCAGCAGCCGUGUAGAGACUCUGAAGGUGAGGAGAGGGGGAGGUGAUUUGUUUAUUGGCGGCGAUUCGAGUGUCUCGGUGACCAAACUCGUGUAUCGUCAGGUAGUUUUGAGAUGUUCGCUGCAACUGCAAUGCAAUAUGGUGUGUGUAUCUCAGUCUCAGCUCGCCAAGACGAAGUUGGCCACCAAGAGCAUUUUCACUGUGAUGGCAUCAAAUCUUUCAAACCCAUGCUGAGACUUGGGAGCUUUGUUGAAGCACCUGUUCUUGUGAUCUUGGUCGGGGUUAUAGAUGGCCAAUAAACACGAGGCCCACGAGCCUAGCACGAAGCCUGCUGAUUGGGCUCGGUCUGAGCCCGGCACGAAUAAGCGAAGCGGAUUAGGCUCAAACAGAAAAUUAGGUAAGAUGGGCUAGUCCGGCAUGCUCUGUUUACCUUUAAGUCCGUUAAAUCCGCUUUUUUACACUAAAAUGUGCUUACCGGUCCGUAUAACUUGCUUUUCGUCCCGCUAUUUUCGUGCUAAACGGGCCGGCAGGCCUGCUGCAGGCCGGGCUCGGUCAGAAAAUUGAGCCCGCGUGUUUAGAUGGCCCAACCCAGUUUUCUAAUCGUGUCUGGGGGCCGGGCUCAAAACGGGCCGGGCUUCACCGGACCAGGCUGGACGGCCCAUUUGGCCAUCUCUAGUCGGGGUGGAUGGAAGAAGUCUUAGCUUGGUAGAUUUGUGGUAGGUACACAAAUAUAUGUGCUGACCUUUUCCAUGAGAUGCUCAGUGACUGGGGGGCAAGGGAAGGGACCUCGUGGUUUGCUAUGUUGCAAGCUGCAAGGUUUGGUUCCUUCCCGCGUGUCAUUGGUUUCCGAGUAGAAUAUGUCUUUGCUAGUGUGUUUGUUGCAAGCUGGGACCUGGGAGCUGUCUCGAUCUGACUGCCCACUACAGGAAACGCCUAAAUUUUCGUGGGCCAAAAACCCACGAAAAUAAGCCUAAACCGACGAAAAUAGCCGCCGAAAAUAAAUUCGACGAAAUUAGGCAACUAUUUUCGUCGGUCCCGACGAAAAAUAUCUAUUUUCGUCGGCUUUCCCAAUGCCGACGAACAUAGUGAGUGGACCAACUAUUUUCGUCGGCCACUACCGAGGCCGACAAAAAUUGAUGUUUCCCCCCCAAAACAGAUUUUUCUGCACCUAUUAAUAAUUCACAGCAAAAUAAACAUUAUCACAAUUAACAUAUACACAUUCACAAGCAAAAUACAUAAUUCACAAAACACAUUCACAUAAUUCACAAAACACAUUCCAUAGUCCAUUCAAAUAAGUCCAGUCCAGAGUCCAUAAAUAGUCCAUAAGUCCAUAAACAGUCCAUAGUACACACUCACUACUCACUCCUCACUCCGGCGGGCUGUGGGAGUUUUGGCCACUCCCUCCUCCGCCACCAGGAAGGUGGCCACUCCCUCCAGCACCAUGGACGAGGAAGUCUUGGACGUUGACACCACCCUCCGAUCCAUGAGCAUGUGACGCUGAACCCUGCAAUUCAUCAAUCAUUCAAAUAAGGCUAUAUUUUGCUAUCCCUAUACCUAUACAUUGUUGUGUUUGGUCAAUAUUUGCAUAAAACUAAACAUGGAACGUCACCUGUGAUCCAUGGUGAGGAGGAGGCUGUGCAUGCAUCCACGGGUACUGUUGUGCUGGCCACCCCAGUGGUGGUGGCACCCACCCCGUCGGUGGCGGUGCCAUCCACGCUUGAAAUGGCUGAGAGCCCGCCGGUGGCUAGGAGACCGGUGGCACCCAUCCCGGGACUUGCUGCGAUCCUUGGGGUGGUGGAGGCGUCCAAGUGCCUGGAGGUGGCUGCGUCCACCCAACACCGGUCCACUGUGGCUGCGACGCUGGAGCUUGUCCUGGCCACUGUCCCCAUCCUUGUGCCUGUGAGCCAUUUUUUAUAAUAAAAAAAGAGUUGCUAUGGAAUUGAAGUGUUCAGAUAGUGUUACCUGGGGAGGGCGAAAAGCGGGCAAGUUCAUAUCAGGGCCGAGUCGAGUAGUCAUUUCCUGCAAAUGGAUGCAACGUUAGAAUCACAACAUUAUACUUUGAAUUCAAUCACGACACAUGAUGAGAUAGACGGAUUACCUGAAAAUAAGAAGCCAUAUAUUGCGUCAGCUGUCCAACCUGCUCCUGCGCUGCUCGAGCCUGCUCCUGUGCUGCUCGAGCCUGCUCUUGUGCUGCCCGAGUCUCCUCCUCCAGCUGAGCCUCUCGAGCAGACCUGGAGGAGCGAGAACUCCCUCCCGAAGACGAUGCCUUCCCUUGACCUAUUGUCCUGUUAUACUCCACAACGCCGGUGCCAAAGGCAAACCUGCAUGAUACACAUAGUUGAGCCAUUAAGUGGACACAUUCUUGUUAAUGAAAUCGUCGAAUCAAACACAAACACCUCACCUGCCAUGCUUUCUACCCCCACCACUGUGGUACAACGCCGAGGCAUCUAAGUCUGAAUGCAUCCAGUCGAAGUCAGGCCCAUGGCGUUGAGUCAUUUCCUCCCCAUAUGCAUUCUGCAAAGAAAGUUAGAGUUGGAGUUAGACACAAAACAUGCAAUUUAAUUCGUAAAUACAAACUUGUUUACCAUUUUCUCCCUUGCCGCCUCGCUGCAUAGCACAUCAGGGUUCGCCGGAUCAGGGCCACGGUGACCACGGACGUAAACCUCCAUAAAACUUGGAGCAACUCCACUUUCAGCUUCCUGCAUGAAAAAGAAGAGUUAAACCAUAUAAUUUUCAUAGAUGUAACAUACAAGUUUGAUUUAUAUACUUACCAUGCGGCGUGCGGUACCAAGGUGUCCAUUGGCGCCGUACCUGUGCCCAGGUCCUUCAGUGCCACGGUUGGCACGGUGCUUGUUGGACUCUGCAAUCCACUCAGGCGACGCCCAUCUCUUAGCCAACCACCUCCAGGCUUCCAUGUCCUUCGCCAGCCAAUCCACAACGCUCUCCAGGUACUGCUCCUCUGUGAGGUAGAUCUCAUUGGCCCCUAAUGCUUUGCUCAUUUUCUGUCCCUUUAUCUUCUUGUAGUAGUAGUUGACGGCCGCGAUGCGAGCAUUGUACAUGGCAUCCUUGAUUACCUUAUCAGCGCACUUCCGAAAGUGCCUCUUCACACGUGUCCACUGAGCAUGAUCCUCCUCGAUGUCAUCCGGCAAUUGGAACCUCCCCUACAUAUCAAUGGAGAAGUUAAGUUAAAGUAAAAUUAGGAGAAGCAAUAAUUCAGUGAAUUGCUUAUAUACGAAAGUAAACUCACCCAGAACUCGUCCCACACAGCCACCUGACAAGUCCUUCGUUUUUUUUCCGAACUUCCCCCUCCGCUACUUGUCGGGGACCAUAAUUAGGGGUACCCUCAAGACGCCUAAUUCUCAGCUGGUAACCCCCAUCAGCAUAAAGCUGCAAAGGCCUGAUGGGUACGAUUAAGUCAGGGAUCAGUCCACACGAGUGACUCGAUCACGCUUCACCCGAGCCUAGCCUCGGCCAAGGGCAGCCGACCUCGAGAGACUUCCGUCUCGCCCGAGGCCCCCUUUUUAUGGCGGACACAUCACCGGCUCGCCCGAGGCUUUGGCUUCGCUCAGAAGCAACCUUGACUAAAUCACCGCACCGACUGACCAAAUUGCAGGGGCAUUUAACGCAAAGGUGGCCUAACACCUUUAUCCUGACACGCGCCCCCGGCAGAGCCGAAGUGACCGCUGUCACUCCACCGCUCCACUGGCCAGUCUGACAGAAGGACAGCGCCGCCUGCAGUGCCACUCGACAGAGUGAGUCUGACAGGCAGUCAGGCCUUGCCAAAGGCGCCACGGCGAACUCCGCUCCGCCCGACCCCAGGGCUCGGACUCGGGCUAAGACCCGGAAGACGGCGAACUCCGCUCCGCCCGACCCCAGGGCUCGGACUCGGGCUAAGACCCGGAAGACGGCGAACUCCGCUCCGCCCGACCCCAGGGCUCGGACUCGGGCUAAGACCCGGAAGACGGCGAACUCCGCUCCGCCCGACCCCAGAGCUCGGACUCGGGCUAAGACCCGGAAGACGGCGAACUCCGCUCCGCCCGACCCCAGGGCUCGGACUCGGGCUAAGACCCGGAAGACGGCGAACUCCGCUCCGCCCGACCCCAGGGCUCGGACUCGGGCUAAGACCCGGAAGACGACGAAACUCCGCCUCGCCCGACCCCAGGGCUCGGACUCUGCCCUGGCCUCGGCCGAACGACUUCCGCCUCGCCCGACCCCAUGGCUCGGGCUCGGCAACGGCAACGGAAGACAGACUCAACCUCGGCUUCGGAGGAACCCCCACGUCGCCCUGCCUAGGGCACAGACCGCCACGUCAACAGGAAGCGCCAUCAUCAUCCUACCCCGAAUCGACUCGGGUCACGGAGAACAAGACCGGCGUCCCAUCCGGCCAGCUCCGCCGGAGGGGCAAUGAUGGCGCUCCACAAGCUCUAUGACGACGGCGGCCCCCAGCUCUCUUACGGAAGCAGGACGACGUCAGCAGGGACUCGACCGCUCCAACAGCUGUCCCUCCGCCAGGCUCCACCGCACCUCCGACAGCCACGACAUCACGCCAGCAGGGUGCCCAGAUCUCUCCGGCUGCCACAUUGGCAUGUACCUAGGGCGCUAGCUCUCCCUCCGCUAGACACGUAGCACUCUGCUACACCCCCCAUUGUACACCUGGAUCCUCUCCUUACGACUAUAAAAGGGAGGACCAGGGCCUUCUUAGAGAAGGUUGGCCGCGCGGGACCGAGGACGGGACAGGCGCUCUCUUGGGGCCGCUCGCUUCCCUCACCCGCGUGGACGCUUGUAACCCCCCUACUGCAAGCGCACCUGACCUGGGCGCGGGACGAACACGAAGGCCGCGGGACUUCCACCUCUCUCACGCUCGACUCCGGCCACCUCGCCUCUCCCCCCUUCGCGCUCGCCCACGCGCUCGACCCAUCUGGGCUGGGGCACGCAGCACACUCACUCGUCGGCUUAGGGACCCCCCUGUCUCGAAACGCCGACAGUUGGCGCGCCAGGUAGGGGCCUGCUGCGUGCUGACGAACAGCUCCCCGUCAAGCUCCAGAUGGGCAGUCUCCAGCAACCUCUCCGGCCCGGGACGGUGCUUCGUUUCGGGACUCUUGAGUUCAUGUCCUUCGACGGCAGCUACGACAUGAUACUUCUUCCACCGCCGCGCGACUACGACAAUGGCGGCCGACAACCCGCCCGCCGGCGGCGGAAUCGACGACGUCUUCCCCGCGUGGUGGAAGGGCAACAUUCGGGCUCGCUCCGUUCUCUCCCCCGCCAACGGAGGAGGAGGCGGGGCCGUCAAGGCCAGAUGGGAGGCCGCGCUUCGUCGGCCGUCGAGCGAAUCGACGCCCCCGACGCCCCGACGGAAGGCACGCCAGACGUCGACCUCGCGUUCAAGACGGAGGCAAGCGCCGUCCCCCCGCGGCACGCUGACCCCGAGCAAGAAGACGACGCCGGCACGCUCGCGGAAAGCCUACAGGACGUCGCCCUCGAACCAGAGAUGACGGUGCAACCAGUCCCCGAUGUGACUACGUCGCUCCUCGUCGACCAAAAGGUACCGACUAACUCCCAUCUUGCGUCAUUUCGACUCGGCCUCAACCCGCCAAACGACCUCGUUUUGGCGGGCGCUCUCAUUGAGGCGAGUGCAACCCCACUGAGGUUCCGUAUGCGGUCGCCUUGGGACCGACUGACGGACGUCUCGACCUACGGGCCCUCUGGGUCCGAGGAAGAUGACGAUCCCAGCAUCGGUUGGGAUUUCUCCGGACUUGGCAACCCCAGUGCCGUGCGGGACUUCAUGACCGCAUGUGACUACUGCCUAUCCGACUGUUCCGAUGGAAGCCACAGCCUUGGCGACGAGAGCUGCGGCCCAAGCCACGAAUGUUUCCACAUCGAGCUAGGGGAUCCCUCCGAAGGCAACCAUCUUGGCAUGCCGGAGGACGGUGAUCUCCCUAGGCCGGUGCCUCGCGCCGACAUCCCACGGGAGCUAGCUGUGGUCCCCGCUCCGGCGGGGGGUUACGACCCACAACUCGAGCAAGUCCGCGAGGCGCAGGCCAGGCUCAACGAGGGAACAGGAGCGCUUGAGCCGAUCCGUCGGGACGUCGGACAGGCAUGGGUGGGCCAACCCCUAGCCGGAGAAAUAUGUCACCUGCCCCAAGGUCUCCAGCACCGCGUCGCCAACGUUGUCAGGAUCAGGCCACCGCCCGCAUCCAGCGGGGUUGGUCAGAACCUGGCAACCACAGCAAUGCUCAUCCGCGCGAUGCCGGAGCCGUCAACCACCGAGGGUCGGCGAAUCCAGGGAGAACUCAAGAAUCUCCUGGAAGGCGCUGCGGCCCGGCGGGCCGAGAGCACUGCCUCCCGAAGGCAAGGAUAUCCCUCGGAACCUCAUGCCGCGACUUCCCGAUUCAUGCGGGAAGCCUCGGUCUACACCGGGCGCACGCGCAACACCGCGCCUGCGGCCCCGGGCCACCUCGGCAACGAGCACCAUCGACGCGACCGUCGGGCUCACCUCGACGAAAGGGUGCGCCGAGGCUACCACCCCAGGCGUGGGGGGCGCUACGACAGCGGGGAGGAUCGGAGUCCCUCGCCCGAACCACCCGGUCCGCAGGCCUUCAGUCGGGCCAUCCGACGGGCGCCAUUCCCGACCCGGUUCCGACCCCCGACUACUAUCACGAAGUACUCGGGGGAAACGAGACCGGAACUGUGGCUCGCAGACUACCGCCUUGCCUGCCAACUGGGUGGAACGGACGACGACAACCUCAUCAUCCGUAACCUCCCCCUGUUCCUCUCCGACACUGCUCGCGCCUGGUUGGAGCACCUGCCUCCGGGGCAGAUCUCCAACUGGGACGACUUGGUCCAAGCCUUCGCUGGCAAUUUCCAGGGCACAUACGUGCGCCCCGGGAAUUCCUGGGACCUUCGAAGCUGCCGGCAACAGCCGGGGGAGUCGCUCCGGGACUACAUCCGGCGAUUCUCGAAGCAGCGCACCGAGCUGCCCAACAUCACCGACUCGGAUGUCAUCAGCGCGUUCCUCGCCGGCACCACUUGCCGCGACCUGGUGAGCAAGCUGGGUCGCAAAACCCCCACCAGGGCGAGCAAGCUGAUGGACAUCGCCACCAAGUUCGCCUCUGGCCAGGAGGCGGUCGAGGCUAUCUUCCGAAAGGACAAGCAGCCCCAGGGCCGCCCAUCGGAAGAAGCUCCCGAGGCGUCUGCUCCGCGCGGCGCCAAGAAGAAAGGCAAGAAGAAGUCGCAAUCGAAACGCGACGCCGCUGACGCGGACCUUGUCGCCGCCGCCGAGUAUAAGAACCCUCGGAAGCCCCCCAGAGGUGCAAACCUCUUCGACAAGAUGCUCAAGGAGCCGUGCCCCUACCAUCAGGGGCCCGUCAAGCACACCCUCGAGGAGUGCGUUAUGCUUCGGCGUCACUUCCACAGGGCCGGGCCACCCGCCGAGGGUGGCAGGGCCCGCGACGACGACAAGAACGAAGAUCACCUAGCAGGAGAAUUCCCCGAGGUCCGCGACUGCUUCAUGAUCUGUGGAGGGCAUGCGGCGAAUACCUCGGCUCGGCACCGCAAGCAAGAGCGCCGGGAGGUCUGCUCGGUGAAGGUGGCGGCGCCAGUCUACCUAGACUGGUCCGACAAGCCCAUCACUUUCGACCAGGCCGACCACCCCGACCAUGUGCCGAGCCCGGGGAAAUACCCGCUCGUCGUCGACCCCGUUGUCGGUGAUGUCAGGCUCACCAAGGUCCUGAUGGAUGGGGGCAGCUGCCUCAACAUCAUCUACGCCGAGACCCUCAAGCUCCUGCGCGUCGAUCCGUCCUCCGUCCGAGCAGGCGCUGCGCCCUUCCACGGGAUCAUCCCUGGGAAGCGCGUCCAGCCCCUCGGGCGACUCGACCUCCCCGUCUGCUUCGGGACACCCUCCAACUUCCGAAGGGAGACCCUGACGUUCGAAGUGGUCGGGUUCCGAGGAACCUACCACGCCGUGCUAGGGAGGCCAUGCUACGCGAAGUUCAUAGCCGUCCCCAACUACACCUACCUGAAGCUCAAGAUGUCGGGCCCCAACGGGGUCAUCACCGUCGGCCCCACGUACAAACACGCGUUCGAAUGCGACGUGGAGUGCGUGGAGUACGCCGAGGCCCUCGCCGAGUCCGAGGCCCUCAUCGCCGACCUGGAGAACCUCUCCAAGGAGGUGCCAGACGUGAAGCGCCAUGCCGGCAACUUCGAGCCAGCGGAGACGGUCAAGGCCGUCCCUCUCGACCCCAGUGGCGACACCACCAAGCAGGUCCGGAUCGGUUCCGGGCUCGACCCCAAAUAGGAAGCAGUGCUCGUCGACUUUCUCCGCGCAAACGCCGACGUCUUUGCGUGGAGUCCCUCGGACAUGCCCGGCAUGCCGAGGGACGUCGCCGAGCACUUGCUGGAUAUUCGGGCCGGAGCCCGACCCGUCAGGCAGCCUCUGCGCCGAUUCGACGAGGAGAAGCGCAGAGUGAUUGGCGAAGAGAUCCACAAGCUAAUGGCAGCAGGGUUCAUCAAAGAGGUAUUCCAUCCCAAAUGGCUUGCCAACCCUGUGCUUGUGAGGAAGAAAGGGGGGAAAUGGCGGAUGUGUGUAGACUACACUGGUCUUAACAAAGCAUGUCCGAAGGUUCCCUACCCUCUGCCUCGCAUCGACCAAAUCGUGGAUUCCACCGCUGGGUGCGAAACCCUGUCCUUCCUCGACGCCUACUCAGGGUAUCACCAGAUCCGGAUGAAAGAGUCCGACCAGCUCGCGACUUCUUUCAUCACGCCGUUCGGCAUGUACUGCUAUGUCACCAUGCCGUUCGGUUUGAGGAAUGCGGGCACGACGUACCAGCGGUGCAUGAACCAUGUGUUCGGCGAACACAUCGGUCGCACAGUCGAGGCCUACGUCGAUGACAUCGUAGUCAAGACAAGGAAGGCUUCCGACCUCCUCUCCGACCUUGAAGUGACAUUCCGGUGUCUCAAGGCGAAAGGAGUCAAGCUUAAUCCUGAGAAGCGUGUCUUCGGGGUGCCCCGAGGCAUGCUCCUAGGGUUCAUCGUCUCCGAGCGAGGCAUCGAAGCCAACCCGGAGAAGAUCGCGGCCGUCACCAGCAUGGGACCCAUCAAGGACUUAAAAGGGGUGCAGAGGGUCAUGGGAUGCCUCGCGGCCCUGAGCCGCUUCAUCUCACGCCUCGGCGAAAGAGGUCUGCCUCUGUACCGCCUCUUAAGGAAGGCCGAGUGUUUCGCUUGGACCCCUGAGGCCGAGGAAGCCCUCGGCAACCUGAAGGCGCUCCUUACAAAGGCGCCUGUCUUGGUGCCCCCGGCGGACGGAGAAGCCCUCUUGGUCUACGUCGCCGCGACCACUCAGGUGGUUAGCGCCGCGAUUGUGGUCGAAAGGCAAGAGGAAGGGCAUGCAUUGCCCGUUCAGAGGCCGGUCUACUUCAUCAGCGAAGUGCUGUCCGAGACUAAGAUCCGCUACCCACAAGUUCAAAAGCUGAUGUAUGCUGUGAUCCUGACAAGGCGGAAGCUGCGACACUACUUCGAAUCUCAUCCGGUAACUGUGGUGUCAUCCUUCCCCCUGGGGGAGAUCAUCCAGUGCCGAGAGGCCUCGGGCAGGAUCGCAAAGUGGGCGGUGGAAAUCAUGGGCGAAACGAUCUCGUUCGCCCCUCGGAAGGCCAUCAAGUCCCAGGUGUUGGCGGAUUUCGUGGCCGAAUGGGUCGACACCCAGCUGCCAACGACUCCGAUCCAACCGGAGCUCUGGACCAUGUUUUUCGACGGAUCGCUGAUGAAGACGGGGGCCGGCGCGGGCCUGCUCUUCAUCUCGCCCCUCGGAAAGCACUUGCGCUACGUGCUGCGCCUCCAUUUCCCGGCGUCCAACAAUGUGGCCGAGUACGAAGCUCUGGUCAACGGGUUGCGGGUCGCCAUCGAGCUAGGGGUCAGACGCCUCGACGCCCGCGGUGAUUCGCAGCUCGUCAUCGACCAAGUCAUGAAGAACUCCCACUGCCGCGACCCGAAGAAGGAGGCCUACUGUGAUGAGGUUCGGCGCCUGGAAGACAAGUUCUUCGGGCUCGAGCUCAACCACAUCGCUCGGCGCUACAACGAAACCGCAGACGAGCUGGCUAAGAUAGCCUCGGGGCGAACGACAGUCCCCCCGGACGUCUUCUCCCGGGAUCUGCAUCAACCCUCCGUCAAGCUCGACGACGCGCCCGAGCCCGAGGUACCCUCGGCUCAGCCCGAGGUAUCCUCGGCACAGCCCGAGGUACCCUCGGCCCCCGAGGGCGAGGCACUGAACGUCGAGGAAGGGCAGAGCGGGGCCACGCCAGAUCAAGAUUGGCAGGCCCCGUACCUGCAAUAUCUCCGUCGAGGAGAGCUACCCCUCGACCAAGUCGAGGCUCGGCGGGUAGCGCGACGCGCCAAGUCAUUCGUCUUGCUGGGCGACGAAGAGGAGCUCUACCAUCGCAGCCCCUCGGGCAUCCUCCAGCGAUGCAUCUCCAUCGCCGAAGGUCGGGAACUGCUGCAAGAAAUACACUCGGGGGCUUGCGGCCACCACGCGGCGCCCCGAGCCCUUGUCGGAAAUGCUUUCCGGCAAGGCUUCUACUGGCCAACGGCGGUGGCUGACGCCACUAGAAUCGUCCGCACCUGCGAAGGGUGCCAAUUCUAUGUGAAGCGGACACACCUGCCCGCUCAGGCUCUGCAGACAAUACCCAUCACCUGGCCCUUCGCUAUAUGGGGUCUGGACCUCGUCGGUCCCUUGCAGAAGGCACCCGGGGGUUACACGCACCUGCUGGUCGCCAUCGACAAAUUCUCCAAGCGGAUCGAGGUCCGACCUCUGAACAGCAUCAUGUCCGAGCAGGCGGUGGCGUUCUUCACCAACAUCAUCCAUCGCUUCGGGGUCCCGAACUCCAUCAUCACCGACAACGGCACCCAGUUCACCAGCAAAAAAUUCUUGGAUUUUUGCGAGGAUCACCAUAUCCGGGUGGACUGGGCCGCCGUGGCUCAUCCCAUGUCAAAUGGGCAAGUAGAGCGUGCCAACGGCAUGAUUCUACAAGGGCUCAAGCCUCGGAUCUACAACGACCUCAACAAGUUUGGCAAGCGAUGGAUGAAGGAACUCCCCUCGGUGGUCUGGAGCCUAAGGACGACGCUGAGUCGUGCCACGGGCUUCACGCCGUUUUUCCUGGUCUACGGGGCUGAAGCUAUCUUGCCCACUGACCUGGAAUACGGCUCCCCGAGGGCGAGGGCCUACACCGAACAAAGCAACCAAGCUAGCCAAGAGGAAUCGCUGGACCAGCUGGAGGAAGCUCGGGACAGGGCCUUACUACACUCGGCGCGGUACCAACAGUCCCUGCGACGCUACCACGCCCGACGGGUCCGGUCCCGAGAACUUCAGGUGGGCGACCUGGUGCUUCGGCUGCGGCAAGACGCCCGAGGGAGGCACAAGCUCACGCCCCCCUAGGAAGGGCCGUUCGUCAUCGCCAAAGUUCUGAAGCCCGGAACAUACAAGCUGGCCAACAAUCAAGGCGAGAUCUACGGCAACGCUUGGAACAUCAAACAACUACGUCGCUUCUACCCUUAAGAUGUUUUCAAGUUGUUCAUAUACCUCGCACCUACGCAAAGUUUAGUCGUCAAGGAAGGGUCGGCCUAGCCUCGGCAAAGCCCGACCCUCCCUCGGGGGCUAAAAGGGGGGAGACCCCCUCUGCGUCGAAUUUUUCCUCGAAAAAGGAUCUCUUUUUAGCAGGAUUUCUUUCGUGCUUCUUGACUACUUCGGAAAGCGGAUCCUGGAAACGACGGAGUACACGUAAGCAGCCAAGGCUGACCGAGCCGAGGGACUCCUACGCCUCCGGGAUACGGAUACCUCACUCAUCACCUUCUGCGAUAAGUAACUUGCGCUCGGAUAAAGCGACUCCGUGGACCGAACAAGUCUUCACGUUCGGAAGCUCUCCUGCCGAAGCAGUCCUUCAAGCUUUCUCGACUAAGUCGGGGACAUGGCCUCAUGGACGGGUGAAAGUACGCGUAAGCGGCAAGGCCGACCGAGCCGAGGGAUUCCCACGCCUCUGGGAUACAGAUACCUCACUCGUCCCUUCCGCGAAAAGCAACUCUCGCUCACACAAACAUCCCUGUUACCGACAGAGUCCAGAUGCUCGAAACAAGAGGAAAAAGACGCAGCUUCGCAAGCGCGGCGAGGGUGUGUUUUUCUGGCCUCGGCGGCCACAGAAAGCACACGCUACAAGAUGAUCUGAUCCUACAGGCUCGGGUCUUCACGCUGAAGGGAGCCGUAGCACCCUCGGCAUCGACGACGUCUUCAGCAAAGUCCGACCCAGCCUCGGGCGGCGACGCGGUCCAGGGACUCCUCCGGGAAUCCGGCCCGAGCAGGCGGCUCAACCGGUUACCCCUGGGGCCUCGGUCAACCGGCUUCCAAGGGCGCCAGCCCGACCCGAGACCUCGACUGAUCGACUUUGGCGUCGGCUCCGCUGACGGACAACACGGCUAGGCUCCGGCCAACCAGGUUCCCAUUCUCGAGCCAACUCCGCCUCUGUUCAUACUGAUAUCGCUACCCCUGGCCUCGGUCCACCGAAGGGCGGCCGAGGGGUCUCUUUAACUAAGCUAGAGGAGCCCCAGACAACAAGGCCGAACGGGCCGAGGGAUUCCUACGCCUCCGGGAUACGGAUACCUCACCCGUCACCUUGACACGGGGCGACUCAUGCUUGGUAAAGCGGUUCAGAUAAUCAACAGGCGAGACUUAGUGCUCGAAAAUGAGAAAAAAACACGGCUCCGUGCCGAAAUUACAUACAUGUUCAGGCCCCGACAGCCACAAUGAACAAAAAACACUGGCAUUCGAAGUGCCAUUACGAACGGAACUCCGGUUCCCCCCUCCGCAGGUACGAACGACCCCACUCCAUGGGGAAGGCCUGCGGAGCAACAGAAGACCGACGGCCGGCUCGCCGCCGCCCAUCCUGACUACGACGACGGUGGGCCGGCGCUGCUGCGAUCUUGCCCUCGCCCCCGUCGACGCUCGAGGGGCGAGGACAAGCACGCCGGCACGGUGGCCCGAGGCGCGGGUGGUGGCAGUGACCCCGUCGGUGACGAGGACUUCUCGAGCCGCCUCCGCCUCGGCGCCGAUGGCAGGGGACACCAGCCCCCCGGCAGAUCCCCACUCAAAUCCUCCCAGACGAGUGGGGCGCCGGCCUCUGCGCAAGGGCGCCGUCCCAGUGCAAAAGCAGGACCACCCCAGAACACGAACGCCGCCCUAACGGCGCGCGGAAUCGUGGGUGGUCCUCCCGUGCACACGAUGCGGCGGUCACCCUCCGGCAGGAGGGGCCGCCGGAAGCCCGGCCGACGACUCCGACACGCUGGAGGUGACGACGCCCUCCGUCGAUCAGCCCCACGUUGUCUAAGUCCGCGCCGUCCGCAGGGCCAGCGAGCGCCUCCACCCCCAAACGCCGCGGGAAAGGGCGACCCGCGGACCCGCGUGGAAGGUAGAGCGCCGGCUCAGCGUGGCUCCCGCCCCAGCGGGGAUGAUGAACAUCCUUGAAGCUGAGGGUGGGACCAAGAUCGCAGCCCGGCUUGCUCUUCCCCACCCAGAAACCGGCGGUCACCAUCCUGGGUGAUCGUCGGCAUGGGGGUACGGCCGGGCCGGCUGAUGAAAAUCCUUGAAGCCGAACGAUGGUUGAGAGGUACCAACUCCCAUGGAGUUGCGUUCCUCCAACGAGGAGGCGGAAAGGCGGCGGAUACCCCCCAUCCGGGGGCUUGGAAGAUGGGAAGACACGACGCUUAAGGGAGGAAGAAGACAUGGUUGCCUUCCGAAAGGAGUCUCCCUCCUUUUAAAGGCAACUCUCCCUACGUGCGCCCCCAGGCGCCGCGGGCUGAGUCUUCUCCGACACGCUCCAAGGCCCUCCCCUGCGACUCGGGGGCUGGGUCCCGCAUGUCAUGCAAGCCGGCUCAGGGUAGAAGAAGCCAAACCGCCGCGCAUGGCGCGCACGACCGUCCAGCGGUUACAAGCGACCCCCCAUUUUCGCCCAGACCAACGGGCAGAAGGGGCGGGCAGCCAUGCAGGCGGCAUGCAACCGCGCCAGAUGGACGCGCUUCUCCGACUUCUGACAUGCCAGCUUGGGAACCCAGGCCCACGCGUCGAGCAACCGGCGCGCCAGUUGCUGCAUGCAAGCAACCGCACCGCCACUUGUGCCACCAUUGCGCCUCUUCGGUUGCGGAGCCUAUGCCGCGACUCGAGGCGACCCAACAGCGCCAGCCUGGCGCGUCGGUCAAAGCGACCGAAAGUGGGCCGGCAGUAAUAGCGGUGGCAGGCGGGCGGGCGCAGCGGUCACGUCGUCAGCCAGGCUCACGUCCCAUCCUGGGACAGCAAGAGAGCCUCCUCUCACGGCGUGGAGACGGUGCACCCGUGACCCGUUCCUCGAACGGAUCGCACGCGCGCGACGGCCGCCCCGCCAACCACUCGCCCCGUCGCAUUAACUCCGCGGCGGGACACGCGGCGCCUCUGGCAGGAGGAGCGCGCGACGCUUCACCUUCGCCGUAAUAACCGCGUCAGAAAAGGUACGCCACGUCAUUCGAUUUCGUAUCCUUUUCCGUUUUCCUCUUUCUCUAUCUCUUGCAACAGGGACCGGGAAAGGGGGAUACCCCGAAAGGGAUCCUUCUCCGCGAAGGAACCGGGCUCCGAGCCCCCCACUAUUGAUCAGGGGUUCGAAGGCUGGCCCUCCGAAGGGUUCAACAGUCGCCUCAGAUCGCGUGGGCCCGACACCCACUACUGGUCAGGGGUUCGAAGGCCAGCCCCCCGAAGGGUUCCAUGGCCGCCUCAGGCUACUCGGGCUCCGCGCCUAUUACUGAUCAGGGGUUCGAAGGCUGGCCCCCGAAGGGUUCACAGUCGCCUCAGACACCGAGCGAGGGAUGACCAGGGGUACGUUCGAUACAUAACCGAGGCUCGGGCUGCGCUCCCGAGGUACCCUAGGACAUUUCCGAGACCAGCGGGAACGAUCUUGUAACGGAAUCCCAUCGGAGGGAGGCAUCGAGCCCUCGGACCCCGUCGCCAGGGGACCGGGUCCGGCAAAUCACCCGCGGGUACUUUUGGGCGUGCCUCUGGGACCCUAGCCGACCCCCAACGAACGGGGCACGGACGUCCACUCGGAUUACCCGCUUGCAGCUCACCGGAGACACCAUGUUCGGUGCCCAUCGAGGGUAACAUGGCGCACUCCCCCCCUCCUCCAUGCGGAAAGGCGACGUAGGGGCGUAUGUAAAAAGUCGAGUCUGUCCCUGAUCGUCCUCUCGCCCUGUGCAGAGGCUCGGGGGCUGCUCUCGCAAAAACCGGCUCCGGCCAAAUCGUUGACGGCGUCAACAUACCAGCCCGAGAGCUUGGGCCCCGACCGUGCACCCGGGCUACGGCCAGUUCGCAUGAGGGAACGACCAGACCAGCCGAAGCGUUACGCGAGGUAUUAAGACCUCGAAGGAGUGUAACCACUCCUCCGAGGCCUCGGGGGCUACACCCGGCGGGUGCGCUCGCGCGCACCCACCGGAACGAAAUGCAACCGAGAAAGGCUGGUCCCCUUGCAAAAAAGUGCGACAAAAGCCUCCAAGCGAGUGCUAACACUCCCUUCGAGGCUCGGGGGCUACUGUCGGGGACCAUAAUUAGGGGUACCCUCAAGACGCCUAAUUCUCAGCUGGUAACCCCCAUCAGCAUAAAGCUGCAAAGGCCUGAUGGGUACGAUUAAGUCAGGGAUCAGUCCACACGAGUGACUCGAUCACGCUUCACCCGAGCCUAGCCUCGGCCAAGGGCAGCCGACCUCGAGAGACUUCCGUCUCGCCCGAGGCCCCCUUUUUAUGGCGGACACAUCACCGGCUCGCCCGAGGCUUUGGCUUCGCUCAGAAGCAACCUUGACUAAAUCGCCGCACCGACUGACCAAAUUGCAGGGGCAUUUAACGCAAAGGUGGCCUGACACCUUUAUCCUGACACGCGCCCCCGGCAGAGCCGAAGUGACCGCUGUCACUCCACCGCUCCACUGGCCAGUCUGACAGAAGGACAGCGCCGCCUGCGCCACUCCGACUGCAGUGCCACUCGACAGAGUGAGUCUGACAGGCAGUCAGGCCUUGCCAAAGGCGCCACGGCGAACUCCGCUCCGCCCGACCCUAGGGCUCGGACUCGGGCUAAGACCCGAAAGACGGCGAACUCCGCUCCGCCCGACCCCAGGGCUCGGACUCGGGCUAAGACCCGGAAGACGGCGAACUCCGCUCCGCCCGACCCCAGGGCUCGGACUCGGGCUAAGACCCGGAAGACGGCGAACUCCGCUCCGCCCGACCCCAGGGCUCGGACUCGGGCUAAGACCCGGAAGACGGCGAACUCCGCUCCGCCCGACCCCAGGGCUCGGACUCGGGCUAAGACCCGGAAGACGGCGAACUCCGCUCCGCCCGACCCCAGGGCUCGGACUCGGGCUAAGACCCGGAAGACGACGAAACUCCGCCUCGCCCGACCCCAGGGCUCGGACUCCUCUCUGGCCUCGGCCGAACGACUUCCGCCUCGCCCGACCCCAUGGCUUGGGCUCGGCCACGGCAACGGAAGACAGACUCAACCUCGGCUUCGGAGGAACCCCCACGUCGCCCUGCCUAGGGCACAGACCGCCACGUCAACAGGAAGCGCCAUCAUCAUCCUACCCCGAAUCGACUCGGGUCACGGAGAACAAGACCGGCGUCCCAUCCGGCCAGCUCCGCCGGAGGGGCAAUGAUGGCGCUCCACAAGCUCUAUGACGACGGCGGCCCCCAGCUCUCUUACGGAAGCAGGACGACGUCAGCAGGGACUCGACCGCUCCAACAGCUGUCCCUCCGCCAGGCUCCACCGCACCUCCGACAGCCACGACAUCACGCCAGCAGGGUGCCCAGAUCUCUCCGGCUGCCACAUUGGCAUGUACCUAGGGCGCUAGCUCUCCCUCCGCUAGACACGUACCACUCUGCUACACCCCCCAUUGUACACCUGGAUCCUCUCCUUACGACUAUAAAAGGGAGGACCAGGGCCUUCUUAGAGAAGGUUGGCCGCGCGGGACCGAGGACGGGACAGGCGCUCUCUUGGGGCCGCUCGCUUCCCUCACCCGCGUGGACGCUUGUAACCCCCCUACUGCAAGCGCACCUGACCUGGGCGCGGGACGAACACGAAGGCCGCGGGACUUCCACCUCUCUCACGCUCGACUCCGGCCACCUUGCCUCUCCCCCCUUCGCGCUCGCCCACGCGCUCGACCCAUCUGGGCUGGGGCACGCAGCACACUCACUCGUCGGCUUAGGGACCCCCCUAUCUCGAAACACCGACACUACUGCUUUCCCCUGACUCCUCCCCUGGCUGGACAUAGUCCUUUAGACCCCAGUCAGCCCACUGCAUAGCCGCGAACCUCUCGCCAUUGAGCUCCACCAUGCCAGGGUAGUAGAAGCGACAGAGGCUACCCAACACCGCGUUCACCUUGGGACGUCUGCCUGUACCGUCCCAAGUCAAGUCUUCCCAUGACCUACAAACAUUAAUAAAACAAGUAAACCAGUGCAAUCACGUUCACAUUAAAAAAUUAACACAACAGAAAUAAGCCCCACCAUUCUCCAUGCGGCCGGAUGAGCCUCCUCUCGGCAGGUCUCGGACCAAGCGCAUUGCUCUUCUUAUACCUAAGUAUACAAGUAAAUUCAAUAUGAUGAAAUGAUUAAAAACUAAUAUCAAUUAAACUAAUAUGCAUAAUAAUACCUGAAGGACGUAGAACCAUCUGACGCGUCGCCCGCGCUGCCUGCCCCCAUAGGGUCAACCUCCUCAUCCUGCUCACCCUCCUCAUCAUGCUCACCCUCGUCACCCUGCACAUGAGCAUCCUGCUGAGGAGCCUCCUGCUCACCCUCCUCACCCUGCACUUCGUCUAGACAGUCGAGAAGUUGCUGCUGCCUCUGUCGGCUCUGUGAGGUGCCCUGAAAAAGCCCACUGCCCGAGCUGUCCUCGCUGGCCGCGCUGCCCCCACUCCUCCUCGAUCUCCUAUGCUUGAACAUGUUCAACUGUAGAUAAAUUAAUGUCAAACCACAGUAUAUGAAACAUAUAAUAUGAAAAUUAAUAAUGUGAAAAUUGGAAUACAUAGCUUAAUUGAUUAACUAAAAGAAACAUACUAAUCAAAAGUCAUCCGCAUUCGAUGAUGCUUCUUCGGCUCGUUGUUUAUUCAUACGCUCUUGAUUUCGUUGGAUCCUUACUGAUCUUCUAACGACGACAGGUCGUUUGCGCUUUGACCUAGGUUCUUCAAUUAAGUCGCUUGAAUUGGAACAGAGAUUUUCAAGUCCUUCUCCAUUGGUCACAUGGAAUCGGUGAGCUAUGUCUUGAUUUGACGCCGCUUCUGGUUGAAAAACAGCAUCAUCGUUGUCCCUGCUCGUACUCACGUAGUCAGCACUCUCUGGAGCGACGACUUGUGGGUUGACUUUGAUUGCAACCCACCAAGCCCUAAGGCUUGGGUGAGGAUAUGACAGGUAGUACACCUGUUUUGCCUGAUUUGCAAGGACAACAUCACUCAUACUGCUCGGAAUCCUAGAGCUAUGCUUCACCUCGACAUUACCAUACUUGUCGACAGGAGUCCCACUAUGAGCAUCAAACCAGUCGCACUCGAAAAACACGACUUUAAGUUCCUUGGGGCCAUCGAAAAUCAACUCUACAAUGUUUUGAAGAACACCGUAAUAGUCCACUACUUUGUCAUCGUCAACAUAUGAACUUGCCAACACACCACUAUUGGUGGUGGCUGCCAAUGGUCGACUCUUCUCCAAUUUCGCGGUUCGGAAGCGAUAUCCAUUUACAUCAUAGCGAGUAUAGUUCCGGACGGACACAGAGGUAUGUGCCAUUUGCUGCAAGUCCGGGUGCACAGAGUUUUUGGAAACCUAUACAAGGAAUUAGUAUAUGCAUUAUAUCUUCCAAGUCCAAAAUUCAAAGAUUAAGUAUGGACAAUGAGAGAACGACAAUUACUAACAUAAUUACGAAACCACUGCACGAAGUUUGGUCCACCUUUCAACCCAUCACGUCGAAGAUUUUCUAAUUGGAUGGCCGUAGGUUUACUAGUAGAUUUCCAACAUUCUUCAUCAAACAUGCUGGACAUAUUGGAAACAUGGAGAUUACACACUAUAGAAAUUAUGAGAUGAGAAAAUGGAAGUAACUAUGAGGAAAACUUACUCGAACGCCUCCUGUGUGCUGUCAAUAUUGCUAUACAUAUAUAGCAUUAGCGUGUUCAAAUCUGAUCCUUCAAUGUGACGUACACUCCCUUUUCCAACUGCUUUACCCGGAUUCGCAAAAAUUUGAAGGGUGCUUUGGGGCGAUUCAUUUUCGACAUGAAGUCGCACUGAAGGAGCAAACACAUUGUUGGCUCGAGCGAAAUACCUGGUUGAGAAUUGAGAUAUCUCCUUAAGGGCAAAAGCCUCCGCAAUACACCCUUCGACUCUAGCCUUGUUGCGAACAGACGCCCUGAGCUUUUUCAACGCCCUUUCUAUAGGAUACAUCCACCUGAAUUGCACUGGUCCGCCUACCAAAGCUUCCCAAGGCAAAUGCACAAUUAGAUGUUGCAUCACAUUGAAGAAUCCUGGCGGGAAAACCUUUUCAAAUUUACAAAUAAGAAUUGGAAUUUCUUUCUCAAAUUUCUGCAUCAACCUCUUAGAUACCGUCUUUGCGCAUACUUCCCUAUAGAAGUAACUCAGCUCUGCAAAUAUGCUCCAAAGCUCAUCCUUAAAAUAGCCUCGAAACAUCACGGGCAUCAGCCUCUCCAUAAUAAUAUGGUAGUCAUGGCUUUUCAAACCGAUCAAUUUAUCGGUCUUCAGAUUGACUGCCCGUUUCAGAUUUGCCGCAUACCGAUCUGGAAAUUUCAGAUUCUUCAACCACUUAAAUAUUUCUUUCCUUUCAUCCGGCUUGAGGCAGUAAUCAGCUCGCGGCCUACUCUCAUGCCCUUUAUCGCUUACUUUCAACUCGAGCAUCGGCCUCUUACAAAUUUCAGCCAUGUCUUUUCUUGCCUUCAUAUUAUCUUUCGUUUUAUCAGUCACAUCGAAACAUGUGCUUAUGAUGCUUUCAGCAACGUUACGCUCUUGGUGCAUCAAGUCUAUGUUGUGCGGCAUGAUCAAGGCUUUUGCAUACGGAAGCUCCCAUAUUGAUGAAAUAUGGGUCCAGUUGUGGUCCUCCCCGUAGCCUUGGAACCUAUCAUUUUCUCCUUGCUUCAGACAAGCAUGCCAUGCCAUUAUCUGCGGUGCAGUUUGCCUCUUUGGUGGCCCAUUUCUGAUUUUGGCUCCACUUCUGAAUGCAGUAAGCGAACUCCUGAAAUCAUGCUUGAAUGGAGUCCAACGUCGAUGAGCAUCAAAGAAUGACACUUUCCCACCAUACUUCAAUCUGAAUGCAUCUGUAUCAUUCAUACAUAUGGGACAGCACAACCGUCCAUGAACACACCAUCCAGACCAAUCUCCAUACGCCAGCAGAUCAUGCACUGACCACAAAUAAGCAGCGCGCAUGGUAAACUCCUUUUCAGUAUGGCUGUCAUAAGCCUUCACACCUCUCCACAAUUGUUUCAGCUCUUCAAUUAAAGGACGAACAAACAUAUUCAGCUUUGGCCCUGGAUGCUCGGGGCCUGGGAUGACUAGUGCAAGGAACAUGAACUCUUCUUUAUUGACCAACUCAGGAGGAAGAUUAUAUGGCACAAUGAAGACAGGCCAACACGAGUAAGGGCUUGCACUGCUAUUGAAAGGUGUGAAUCCGUCCGUCGAUAGACCAAGCCGUACACUCCUAGGGUCGUUUGCAAAUUCGGGAUCAAACUCGUCAAAUGCCUUCCACGCAUCACCGUCCGACGGAUGGACCAUUAUGUCUGGAUCAGUGACGAGACGUACACCAUUCUUUGGCCACGUCAUAUGCAGAGCUAUUUCCUUGUUGAGGAACAACCUUGAAAGCCGAGGAAUGAUGGGCAACCGACGAAGUUGCUUAGCUGCGACCUUCGUAACUACCAAUUCACCCUCAUCAUUUGUCACCUCGACAUAUCUAGAAGCUUCGCAAUGCUUACAACGGUCCAGCUUGUCAUCCUCCUCAAAGAAUAGCAUGCAACUGUUGGGACACACGUCGAUCUUCUCAUAUGUCAUCCCAAGACCAGCCAACAUCUUCUUUGCGAAGUACAUAUUCUUUGGCAACUUAUGAUUCUCCGGGAGAACCUCGCCCAUCAGUUGGACGAUGUCGUUGUAAGCACUGUUUGAAAUGUUGUGCUUCGACUUUAUCGCCAUUAGUCUUGUGAGAGUCCCAAGAACUGACAUCUGAGUGUGCUCGUGCAAUCUCUCUUCUCCCGCGGUGAGUAGCCGAAAGAAUUCCUGAGCAUCGCGUGGAAGCUGCCCCGGCUCCUCAGCGUUCAUUUCAACCUCCCUACCAAGAUCAUGCAACAUGUCGUCCAUCCUAUCAUGAUCGUCAUCAAGCUCCACCUCCGCGUCAACGUGUCUAAUAGACUCUCCAUGCCGGUACCAUACAAGGUAGUUCGGCAUAAACCCACUUUUGCAAAGGUGUUUCUCCAUUUCUUCCUUCUUCUGAGGCCACUUGUUCUCGCAGCGAUUGCAAGGACACUUCACUAGACGACCAGUUGCAUCUUUGAAAGCGUGGUCAAGAAAAGCCUUUGUUACAACCAUCCAUUCAUUCGAAUGUGCCCCAUCUUUUCUCCACCCGUCAUACAUCACCAUCCGAUCACCGUCCAUUUCAAAGGCUAAACAAAAGACAAAGAACAUCAACGAUCGUCCGUGGCUUAGGUGAACUCCCUAUUAGGUAAAGGCCCUAAACCCACCCAAGAGUGUAGACCGAUGCUUGUGAUUUAUGACGUGUAGCCUACGAUUGCCACGAAAUUUCGGCAGCAUAACCCCGCUGCUCUCCAAGCACACGCCCGAACAUGGUGUGUUGGAGAACAACUGGGUUACACAACCGAAAUUCCGCGUCAAUCGUAAGGCACAUGUCAUAAAUCACAAGCAUCGACCUACACUCUUAGGCUGUCCAAAAUACGUGGACAAUUCCGGAACGACGAACCUCACAAUCCAAUGUGACGUUCGCCGUUCCCGAACGGGUGACGCAUACGGUUCGCUACGGUUAACGAUUAAAACUAAACUCUAAACAUUAAACUAAACUCUAAAAUUAAGAUAAUAGAAUGAGACAUUGAGGAUAAUAAGGUACUGAUCACUGAUGAUCACUGAUCACCACUGAUCUAGCAUGCACUCUUCACUAUACAAAACCAAUUAAGCAACUGUAUCACAAUGAGAUUACUAAUGAAGAAUGGCGCACGGCACGCCAUGGCCGCCAUGUGCAUCAAAUGAAGAAGGGAGACGUGGAGGCUCACCGCGGGGAACGAGGGCGGCGUCGACGGAUGUCGGGCGUGGCGUGGAUGGACGGCAGGCUCCCUUCUUCUCGACGACGGCCACAGUCUCCCUUCUUCGCGGGCGGGCGUGUUGCUGGCGGCGCGGCGAAGGCGCGUGGGCUGCGUGCGGCGGAGCGCUAACUUCUUCGCCGGCGGGCGGAGCGCGUCAAGGGCGUGAGGGCCGCAGGCGGCGCGGCUAGCGCGGCGAGCGCGGGGCGAGGGCGGGCGGGCGCGUCGCGGGGUGUGCGGGGUGAGCGCGCGGCGAGCGCGGGGCAAGGACGGGCAGGCGCGGCGCGGCGAGCUCGGGCGGGCGGCCGGGCGGGCGCGGCGAGCUCGGGCGUGCGGGCGCGGCCAGCUCGGGCGGGCGGGCGGGCGGGCGCGGCGCGGCGAGCUCGGCGACGGCGGGCGGGCGGCGGCGCUGCUAGAGAUGGACGAGCGAGAGAGAGCGAGAAGAUGCGCGCGGAGGCCGGAUGGACGAUUAAAGUUCUUUAUUUUCGUCGGCCUCAGUAAGACCGACGAAAAUAGAGGUCGGUUACUGACAUAUUUUCGUCGGCCUGACUGAGGCCGACGAAAAUAAUCCACGUAUUUUCGUCGGUCUGGCUAAGGCCGACGAACAUAUCUCACAUUUUCGUCGGUCUUGAGGCCGACGAAAAUAUCUUUCGUAUUCCCGUGGGCCUACCGACGAAAAUAUUUACUGGCCCACGAAAAUAGACAACAUAUUCGUCGGUCACGCUGGCCCACGAAAAUACAUUGUUAUUUUCGUGGGUCGGCCGACGAAAAUAGCACGGCCCACGAAAAUUUAGUCGUUUCCUAUAGUGGCCGGCGUCACCAACUCUGAACUGAACGAUCAUUCACGGGGCAGUCCGAGGCCUUACAGGUCAAGCUGCACGCCCGUCCUGUGCCGUCCUGCCGUGCACAAGCCGGACGCGUCUGUACGCACUCGAUCUACGCUAUGGUGGAAGAAGCUUCCAGCUACCUGAGCUACGGCGACCGUGCACGAGCCGGACAGCCGGUGGACUCGUCUCGUCUGUACGCACGUUACGCUAUGGCUGGAGGCUGAAGCUUUCCGGCUCCGACGACCACGCUGCGGCGCCUGUCCGCAGCCUCCGCCUCGGCGUCGCAUGAGUUGCGUCAACCAGCGCGUCGGACGGCGACCAAGCGACGCCGGCCACGGUAAGGUACACGUACGUAUCGUCACAGUUCCAAUUCGUGUCUGGAUUCUGGACCCGCCCGGCCGGUCCACGAACCGGCGGACGCCAUGCAGACGUCCCUGCUUAGCGCGCAAGGGGGCCGGGGCUGCAAGGCUUAGCGUGCAAGGGUCAUAGGAGACGAAGACGCGCGUGGAAGGAGCCGUGUAGUGCAGAGGUCAGCAUGCUCGUUUUUUCUUCACUCCCCACAGUACGAGGGGCUAUUCAGUCACGUGCUAUAUGCCACUACUACAAGGAUCUAUAUUUUAGCAUGUCUUCAGUAGAUCGUGCACAUAGUCAUACAAAACAUUGUUUUAUACUUGCAGAGUACAAUUUAAAAUAUGAGACGAGAUUGUUGGAGACCAUAUUCUUCCAAAGGUUCUUAAAACACUAUUUUAACAAGUUACUUUUUAGCCCGUUUCAAGUGCAACAUAAAAAAUGCCGAAGAGCACAUUCGGUUGGGGCCAUCACAAUUGCGGAGACGAAGGCACCGACUUCGGAUUGACGGCGUGCAUGUGAGGAACAAUGCCAUGUAUUGUUUACGUUUUUUUUUGGCUUGAAAGAAUUUAUUUACUCUGUCUAUGAAGUUGUAUUUCUUUCUAUCUUCACCUUGUACCUUCAAGAAACCGAAGACAUUCUUGUAAUUAAGUAAAAUUAAUGGGAUUAAAUCAUAUGAUUCAUCUUAGUAUUUUAUUGUGUUCACUUUGUCAUCUGUUAAUCUCUAAACAUCUUCGUCCUUCAUCUUAUCUCUCUUUGGGGAUAAAUAAAGUGAAGAACAUAUAUGAAGCUUUAUAUAACUACGUUGCCUUGUUUUUGGUCUCUCGAAGGAAUCGAAAACAGGUAACCAACAGAGAUAGAGAAUGAGAUAGGAGAGCUGCAGGAGAGAUAGUCUUAGAUCCAUUGGCUACAAUGCUCGUCCAUCCUAAAAACUCAUUUUAGUUUUGUCCAAACUUAGACCAUUAAAAAAAUCAACCAAAUUUAUACACUAGAAUACUAAUAUUUAUAGCACCAAAUGAGUAUAAUAUCGUUAGAUCAAUAUACCCUAUUUAGCGUCAUAAAUGUUAGCAAUCUUUUCUAUAGAUUUGAUCACACUUAUGAUAGUUUGAGUUAGGACGAAAAAACUAAAACAAAAGCUUUUAGGGAUAGAGAUCCAAACAUGUGAUACUUGCUAAUUAUUAACAAGCGAAGAUGCUAACAAUUAGUUUAUUUGUUGGUGAAUGCGUGUUGAUGAGGUCCUAAUGGUUCAUAUAUACAUAGCUCUAACUAAUCUGGAUUUCCUAUUCCCUUUUAGUACCAUAAUAUAGUCACCAUUAAAUAUAUACCAAAACUGUAAAAAUAAAAUUGUCAGAUAGCCAAAAGUUUCUCCAUCAUUCACAACCACUCGAUAGGAUCUAACAGACUCAAUCUCUCCAGGGGUGGAGUAAGUUUGAGUAGUGUCUCCAAAUAUGCUACGGAGUUCGAUUCUAAAACAAAUUGGAAUAUAUGGUGUUUUCACGGUUCUAAAGGUCCCUACAUCUAGUACCAAUUUUUAACUAGAAUGGGUACUAAAAAGAGAUCUUAACAUCGGUUAUAGCCAAGAAUCUUUACUAAAGAGAUACCUUUAGACCGGUUUUAGACAAUAACCAAUACUAAAAUGAGAUUUUGUUUUUCAUGGCUAUAAAAUUAAUUAAUAUAUAAACAUACAAAUGUAAAAAAAAAAGUACUUUUCAAUGGACUAAACUUGUUGUCCAGGACUAAAGAGGUUUGUUCCCUUUUUUUUGCACAUACAAAUGUACAUGUAGUUUCUUUUUUCUUCUUAAAGUUAAGACACUUUAUUAAAUCAAAAAAAGUAUUACAUAUUUUUCAGUACAAAUAGACAAGAAAGUUUGUUUUGUCUUAGUUUCUUCUUCAAUCCUUAUUUUUCGCAUCAGUUCCUUCUCCAUCUCCGUUCUUCUUCAUCCCUACUUGGAGAUGUAAAUGGUACGGAUAAUAUCCAUCCGUAUUCGAAUUCGAUUGGUCUAAGAGGAUCGAGAUCUGAUCCAUAUACUAUCCAAUUUAUAUUUGUAUCCAUAUAUUCAAAGUUGGAUAUUUAAGAUGGUAAAGCAUUCAAAAAUUAUCCGACACAACUCGGUAAUAUCCGUAUCCGAUUUGAUCUGAAGAGAAAAUAUAAAAAUAAAUAUGAGACGAAUAAUAUCCGUCCAUAUCUGAUCUGAUCACAUCCCUAACCCUACUUCCUUUUUCGUCGCAGUUCCUUCUUUGUCUCUGGCUAGAGGUCUAUGGCGAGAGAUGAAGAUGCUCUUAGCCGACAACUAGCCCUUAGCGCGACGGCUUGUUGGUAGUUGAAUGUAUUUUCUUAUUUUCUGUCUAAGGAUUAGUUCAUGGGAUCAAUAUUAGCAGGAUUUCUAUAAAAACAUAUUAAAAGGAAAAAGGUAGAGUUUAAAACAAACAAUAUAAGCAUUAUGGACAAUAAACAAAUAGGAAAAAAAUGGAGAAACAUCAUUUUGCGAGUGUGUGAAAAAUGCAAACUCUAUGGUGAAGAAACAUAAAAAAAUAAUGCAUGAGUUUCGGAUGUCCUCGCUGGAGAGGUAGGCUUGGGGAAAGAUGAAUUUAUAGUUAUAGGGGAGCGAAAGCUGUGGCGGGAAUAGGAAUAUCUUUAGUACGAAAACCGGUGCUAAUCACUUCACUUUUAGUAGCGGUUCUUUUUAAUAAUUGAUACUAAAGUAGUUUAGACGUGAACCUAAAACUUGUUGCGGGGACGAUGGAAAAUAGCCUCAAAGUACUAGUUCUUUGUAAGAGUCGGUACAGCAGGCUAAUUAUUUCUUGCGCCAAGUUGGAAAUAUUUUAGUACCGUACCGGUUAUUGUUUCCGGUACUAAAGAUAUCUUUUAGUAUCAUUUUGGUGUCUUCUGCCGGUAUGAAAGACCUGAUAUAUUAGUAUUGAUUAGAGACAGCAAUAACUGCGGUAACCAUGUUCUCUUCACGGACUCAAUAUUUAUUUGAAACCAUGCAUUACCGACGCUUGUAUAACUAUGGAUUUUGAAACAACGACCGGAAUGACGAAAUCUCAGUCUCCGGUUGUGAUAGCUGAUGAUUCGCGUGUGUCGCCAGCAGUAGCAGAAACUCCAUUGGACUGGCGUGCACACUUUGAGCGUGCCAAUAAUCCGCCGCCGCAUAGCUAGACACGCACAGGUGACCAGUAGCGUGGCAGACACGUCCCGUCCGCCCCCCUCCAUCCCCCCUUCUAGCAGCUGCCACUCUCAGAUCUUCCUCUUUGGCAGGCACAUAAUAAUAUAGACGGUGCCCUAGAAACGACGGCUAACAAAUACAUGCCAAAUCAUCGUCCAUGCAUCUCAGGCGGCACAGGGCAAAAGCAAAACAUGUUUAUGCUUGCAUACUACGCAUGAUCGAGCGAGCCCAUGGCGAUGCUGACAGCAGGUCGUCGUCGAUGCAAAAAAAAAAAAAAAGUGUUCCUGCGUUAACGGCGGUGCAUUGCAUGCAAGGCGAAGCGGGCGGCGUUGCGUUUGCGUACGGAUCGGAGCAGGAGAGGAGAGGAGAGGGACGGGCGCGUGACGACCGGAGGGGAGGAGGGUAAACGUGACGCUGGCUGGCCGCGUUGCCGGGGCCGUUGCGCCAUUUCAUUUCUUUAUCUUCUUCCUCCUCUCCC
rnacentral:lncRNA from 1 species